UUUUUUUUUUUAGUCUUGUUUGUGUUUGAGAGUUUAUUUGGAGUAGUUGGCCAUAAACGUUUCAACUAGUGUUUUAUCCCAUUCAUUCCCACCUUGCUUUUUUAUGUUUAAAUGACCAGUAUACAUUACACAUCCUUCUGUUUCAAAUUCCAAAUGUGAUACUACAAAACGCCUGUAUUUAUUUGUGUACAAGCUCUCUGUUUUAUCAAUCAGAGAUCUAUAUAAGAGUUUUUUUGUAUGCUAACUACAAAUGUGCUACUCAAACAUAUUGAAGCUUGUAUGAAUAUUUCUACAAAGUCGUUGUUUUUCUAACAGGGGGAUGUUGGGUGUGGUAAAACUAUAGUUGCUUUCCUAGCAUGUAUGGAGGUUGUUAACUCAGGAUUUCAGGUACACUCUUCAGAUUUGACAUCCUUCUGUACUGUUAUUACAACAUGCCAAAGGAUUUUUUAUCAAUGAUACCCAUACAUGCUAAAUCCAAAUGGGACAUAUAAGAAAAAAAGAUUAUCAUCGUGCUUGUGGUUCUUUCUUUAUUCAGAGGAGAUUUGUCUGGUGUAUUAACCUUAUAAUUUCUUUUUGUAGGCUGCUUUCAUGGUUCCAACUGAGAUACUUGCUGUUCAGCAUUAUGAACACCUAACUUCAUUGCUGGAGAAGUUAGAUGGAGAUGAAUGCAAACCAAAUAUUGCCUUGCUAACUGGUUCAACUUCCACCAGAGAGUCGAGGAUAAUUCGGAAUGCAAGCCACUAUCCCUAGUCCCAACACUUUUCAAAUUUUGACACUCAUAUUUUUCAUAUCUUUACGUGUGUUAUACAUGACAGGGUCUCAAGACUGGAGAAAUAUCAAUGGUCAUUGGAACACACACCUUAAUAGCUGAUAAAACUGACUUUUCAGCUUUACGUAUCUCUGUUAUAGAUGAGCAGCAACGUUUUGGUGUUAUCCAACGAGGAAGGUUCAAUAAUAAGGUAAUAUACUGACCACUUUUAUUCACUCAAUUAUUAACCAUACAUGUAGUUUCUGCGUGUUACUUCAUUCCUGUACUGAGAUGCAAUUUCUGCAAUUUGGUCAUGGACUUAAAAGGAAUCAUACUUAUCAUGAAGUUUGCUUGUUGAUACAUUCAUGUCGUUUUUGCAUGCAUUGUUUCGUGGUAAAUAAUGUAAAAAAAAAGCAUGGAAAAGAUAAUCAGCACUUUCCUACUGAAUUUGCUCUGUUGCUCAUUUUUCUGCAUGCACAUGCACUAACUAGCAUAUUGAUACGUAGAAAUAAGGUACAUCCACAUGCCCCCAUCCCCCUGCAAAUGCUCAUUUUCCCAAUAGAACAUACUGUUUCAUAUUGUUGACCUUCUGCAUAAUUUCUUGCAAUGACUAUGCUAUCCUUUUAUGCAUUAGUAUGUCAAUUGUCAAAUAAUAUCAGAUUUCGAUUUACAUCUCAAAUACUGAUAUGGGAGACUAAUCCUGCCCUCCGGAAUUUGCCGAGAACUUAGCCAUUUGAAAAGCUCCCGUCUGUCCAAAUACCAUGACCGAUGCCCAUUGGGGAAAACAGUUCUGUGCUCGAAUUAUAUCAACAUAGAUGCCUUCUAUCUAUUGCUUUUACUGCAUCUUAUGGUCAAUUUUGUUGUCUAUGAACAAUUUCUAUUUGAAAAGCUCCAUAGUCUGUCCAAUACCACAGCCAUUGCCCAUUUGGUAAACGAACAACAGUUUGUGCUUGAAAUCAUUGCAUCAACAUAUAUCAUAUAUACCUUCUGUCUGUUGCCUUUGUUGCAUCCUAUGGUCAAUUUUGUUGUGUAUGCACUUUUUUUUUUCAAUUUGAACUGACUACAUGAUUGUAGUCCUUGUGCCUUGUAGAUGCACAUCUACUGUAUGCUCUCAUUUGUCCAAGGAAAAUUUUGCUGAUUACCACCUCGGUUCGAAAACAGACGUCAUCCUAGAAUACAAGCAGUCAAUUUCUCAGACUUUCGCCACUAAUAUAUGUAGAAGCAAUAAAAGAUCAACUUUAUUACAUGAAAAUCAUUUAGUAAACCUAUCAUCAAAAGUACUUGCAUAUCAUUAUGUUGUUAACAUUUCAUAACACCAAAUUAGAAAUGCGUGUAACAAGAGAAUAAAGGUAGUUGUUGCCUUUCCCUAAAAAAGAAGGUGGUAGUUACCUUUGAGAUCCAAACUUCAUUUGUUAAUUUCUGCCAUCCUAUUUUCGCUUCAAGUUUAACAGAUUAGCAUUUUUUUUGCUAAGCCAUCUUACUGCAACUCGUUACAGCUGUAUACUUCAUCUUCAAAGCUGAGUGAUGAAAAUACAAGCGCAGAUGAGGCUUCUGAUUCUGAAACAUUUAUGGCUCCCCAUGUUCUUGCUAUGUCAGCUACCCCAAUUCCAAGAACACUGGCUCUUGCUUUAUAUGGGGAUAUGUCUCUUACUCAGGUACUUAUUACAGAUGCAUUGAAUUCUCUAAGUAAUUGCUAGUCAUCCAGAACCUUGUACUUCACCAAAUUUAUUUGGAAACACAUAGUUUAAAAGUGUUUCUUGCAUUACUGUUCUCAUUUCUCACCGGUAUUUGGAAUAUUUACAAUCAAAACCCACUUCUCUUAUAGAUUACAGAUUUGCCUCCAGGAAGGCAACCCAUAGAAACUCUUGCUCUUGAAGGAAAUGAUGCUGGGUUUGAAACUGUCUUCCAGGUGAUGACGCAAUUUGCUGUUUGAUAUAGAGCUUCUUUUUUUUUUGUUCUGUCUUUGUUGGCAUUGCUCAGUCUUUUCUUAUAUUCUUUUGGUCUGCAUCGUGCAGAUGAUGAGGGAUGAGCUUAUGGAUGGGGGCAAAGUGUAUCUCGUUUAUCCUAUCAUAGAAGAAUCAGAGCACCUACCACAACUUCAUGCUGCCAAAGCUGAUUUUGAUUCGAUAAAACAGAAGUUUGAAGGCUAUCCAUGUGGGUUGCUGCAUGGCCGCAUGAAGGGCGCCGAGAAGGAUGAAGCUCUGGGCAGUUUCAGAUCCGGGGAAACGCGUAUUCUCCUGGCGACGCAAGUUAUUGAGAUCGGAGUCGAUGUUCCUGAUGCUUCUAUGAUGAUUGUCAUGAAUGCCGAGAGAUUCGGAAUGUCUCAGCUGCACCAGUUAAGAGGGCGGGUCGGUCGCGGGGGAAAGAAAUCCAGAUGCGUGUUCCUGUCCUCCACUUCCAGCACAUUGCCAAGGUUGAAGGUGCUUGAAAAUUCAUCCGAUGGGUUCCACCUAGCUAACGCCGACCUGGUGAUGCGUGGCCCUGGCGAUCUACUUGGCAAGAAACAGUCGGGGCAUCUUCCGGAGUUUCCAAUAGCCAGACUGGAGAUUGAUGGGAGUAUUCUGCAAGAAGCCCAUCUUGUUGCACUAGUAAGUUGCCACUGCCACCCUUCCCCCAAACCUCCCAUUUCCUCUCUUCCUCGACCUGCAUUAACGUGUUUGCUACAAACCUGCAAUGCAGAAAAUUUUGGGAACGAGCAACGACCUAUCGUUGUUUCCACGUCUGAAAGUGGAGCUCAGCAUGAGGCAGCCGCUAUGCCUUCUUGGAGAUUGACCUCACCUGUUCGCGGAACCGACAAUACAAUGCGGCCCUGCCAUGACGGCAUGUGCCGUAUAAGGCAUCCUAGUGUGCAUUGUAUUGAAACUAGUUCUGGUGGCAAAGCUGGCAUGGCCAUAUGUUGUUGGGUGUAGCAACGCUCUAAACCUGUUGAAAGAUGCGUAUAUUGUGCGAUCAAGACAUGGUUAAUGGCGAGAUGGUACUUCUAAUUUAGGCUAAUUUAUGUUUGCAGAGAAAUUGUGAAAUGCCAUCUCUUUUGGAGGAUGCGUUUCUCUCUUUUAUUCGAGGGAAAGGAAUAGCAGGCGAGCUUAAAAACCAUUGCAGCCAUGGUCGGAAACAAAAAACAUUGCAGCCAGAUCACCUGAUGAUCAGUAGAUACAGCUUAUUGGUCGCCGACUUGGACAUAUAAUGACUUGCCAAUUUGUCUCAAAUUUCCUCAGGAGAACCUUCGUCCGUGACAUGAUACAUGACCUGAUCUGCAAGACACAUGACCUGAUUUGCAAGACAAAGCGGUAUGGUGGUGGUCGCUUGCACUUGCAUAUCCUCCCACCCAUCGUCGUCAACCUUGGCUGGCUUCGUUUCCUGCAAAUCCUUCAAGAUUCCAUGCUGUGCCAGAAGAUCCUUGACUCUUGUCUGCCAUAGACCAUAGUUACCCGUGCCAUCGAAUUUCUUCACAUGAAACUUGGUGAGCCUCGGCGCCGUGCAGAGCCGCGAUCUACCUGACAUGUCGCCACCGCUAUUACCGCCCUUGUUUUCCUCUGCAAUUUCCUCACGGAAAAGAUCAUCGAUCCAAAUUCCUUGUUUUUUUUUUCAAAACGGAGGCAAAAGAUUUGCCUCAUCUAUUAAUUAAGCAGAAGAGAAUUGCCCAGUUAAUUAAUGGAAAACCGGGCGAAAACCAUCACAAACCGCUGAGCGGCACACAUAAGAGACCCACACGUGCCACUCCAAAGAGGGCCUCGUCGAGACAGCACAUCGACGUCAUCGUCAUCACUUCUCCCCUAGAGGCGUCAUCGCCAUCCCAAACUCUGAGAAACGACUCCGACUUUGCCAAGGCGAUCAUCGAACCAACCCACACUGAAUAGGCCGUGCGGAAUCACAUGAAGAUCCGCGCCAGACCUCAGCCACUACGACAAGACAGCACAACUCUGACACCAACGGAGAGCUAAGAAGGAGAACCAAGCAAGGCUGGCGUCGUGGAAGAUCACCGAACGGACCACCUGCUACCUGUCAUCGUACGCCACAGGGCCUCGCCACCGCAGCUUCGACUUCACAGCAACAAACCAGCCGAGGCCAUCCCACGAACACGCCGGAGAAGAGCCGACUACCUCAACCAAUGUCGCGUCUCCUACAUCACUCCCUGCAACACCAUUGCAUAGUAGCCUUGACGCCAACAUCAACACCAUCCCCUGGUCCCUCUUGCCGAUGCUCAACUCCAACGACGAAGCCCUCGAGAGGGAAAACGACGCCAAGGCGCCGCCAUCGUCCGAUCACAAAGGAUCUAGGGUUUCCCCCGGAGCUGAAUCCAUGCGGGAGGGUGCGGCAGCAAUGCGGCGAUGCCUCCAAGAAGGUCUACGACGGCCACAGCCGACGCCAUCGUCGGUCACCGACCAAAGGCUGAGACAGGGUCUUCACCCAAGCUCCCAAACAUCCACCCGCACCGCCAUCGACAAGUCCACCAAGCACCACCGCCGAGCCAGCUCGCAGUCGAAGAAGCCCCACCGCCGAAGCAGCCAACCGCACCUUGCGGAGACCGCCGCCGGCCACCGGCAAGUGACGAGAGGUCUGCAGCCCGAGGCCAAGAACCACCUCGGAUCCCAGCCGCAGCCAAGCUCCAUACGCGCACCACACGCGCCCACCGGAGGACGGAGACAGCAGAUUCGACGGACAAAGAAACAGCCAUGCUCCAUCACCACAAGACCGCUCCACCAUGUCGCACCAACAGCACCGCAACACAGCCGGACCCCUUGUGCCGCUCAUGCCUCGCAGAUCCACCAAACUCGCCCGUGCCUCGCCCAGCACGCGGCCACCGGCGCAGCACCGCCUUGCGCGGGCCCUUGUGCGCCCUUGCCGCGCCUCACGCACAACCGCGAGACGCGCCGCCACUGCUCCCCAACACGCACGCGCGAGCCUCCGCCCCGCCCCUCACUCCAGAUCCGCGGCACAUGCAGCAGCACCGCGCAACCGCAGCGUCGCAAUGCCCUGGCCNNNNNNNNNNNNNNNNNNNNNNNNNNNNNNNNNNNNNNNNNNNNNNNNNNNNNNNNNNNNNNNNNNNNNNNNNNNNNNNNNNNNNNNNNNNNNNNNNNNNNNNNNNNNNNNNNNNNNNNNNNNNNNNNNNNNNNNNNNNNNNNNNNNNNNNNNNNNNNNNNNNNNNNNNNNNNNNNNNNNNNNNNNNNNNNNNNNNNNNNNNNNNNNNNNNNNNNNNNNNNNNNNNNNNNNNNNNNNNNNNNNNNNNNNNNNNNNNNNNNNNNNNNNNNNNNNNNNNNNNNNNNNNNNNNNNNNNNNNNNNNNNNNNNNNNNNNNNNNNNNNNNNNNNNNNNNNNNNNNNNNNNNNNNNNNNNNNNNNNNNNNNNNNNNNNNNNNNNNNNNNNNNNNNNNNNNNNNNNNNNNNNNNNNNNNNNNNNNNNNNUGGCUUGCUAGAGGGAGAAAGGAAGGGCCCGCCGCCGCCGCCGCCGCGCGGGCUUUGCCCGGCGGCGCUCGCCGGCGGCGGCGGGGGCAGGAAAGAUGGGAUCUGAAGAAGGGGCGGGGCGAGGUUUCACCCCCGGGUCGCCCGCAGCGGGAGCGACACGGGAGUCCUUUCCCGUUUAUCAAAUGUGAAUGUGUAAUAAAUUCCUCGUUUGAAGCCAUGCUGCAGUACGUGAUCUACCAAGAACCCUGAACCUGCAUUGGACCCUAUCCGUCCUUCAGAAAUCACCGUGGCUAUCAAACUAGCUCUCGUCAAAACUAGACAGCUCCACCUUUUUCCUGAACCUGCAAAUUGAUUUUUGUGCCUGUUCGUCUUGUUGUUCCCAGCCUUUGGUAGACCUGGCCCUUUUUCCCCUUGCCCGACACGAAAAACAAGAAGGGACUAGCCAUGAUGAUGAUUGCUUGAUCCUCGGUAGAUCAACUACACACCUCGGACUAUUAUAACAGUUACAUGCCGCAUUUCACCGGUUAUGAUACCAAAAUGUGGAGGAACUAUAAAGAAGGAUGGAGUCGAGCUGCCGCUUCUGCCUUUCUGUGUUUUUCAAACUUUCACUUGGACCUUACUUUGCUUUAGUCUUCUCUACUACUUGAAAUACAUUGAUUUCAAGUAAACGAGAUCACAAUUCAGUAGGAUCAGUAAUGAAUAGUUAGUUUUCCCUGCACGAGACACAGUGACCAAAAUGGAAAACACAAUUCAGUAUCGUCCACCUUUUUAACCGCACUAGGUCCUUCUUGAGACGGCCAUCCUAGGAGCUUUUGAAACACAACCCCACAAGGUCCGGCAGCACCUCCCGGCGCUCCUGAGAAGACGACGACGCCGACAGCAGCCGCAACGGGCCAGCCUCCUGCUGGCGCCGAAGCGUGCGGCAGCACCGCCAGACCGCCUUGUGCGACAGACCCGGUCCCCGCCACCCCUCAGCCUGUGUCGCAGCUGUGGGCAGCGCCUCCCUAUGGAUUUGAGCGAUGUGCCCCUGGUAGAAAAGCGCGAGGAGUUCGCCGAGACGGUGAGGCCUAAGCCUGAGACCACCAGCUAGGGAUAGGAAGACACCGACGGCGGGCUGACCUAACCGAAGGCCAUGGAAGCCCAGGGAGGAGGGAGAAAAUGUGGAUGCAGGGGCCAGGAGUGGUCAUCGGCGGGCAUGUGGAUAGUGGACGCCGGGGCUAGAGUAGCCAUCUGCAGCAGCGGAGAGAGGGAUGGGCUCAGGGGAGGAGAGAGUUUGCUUUAGGAAGUAUCUCUAAUCUCUUUAAAAGUAUACUAAAUAAGUAUUUUAAUAUAAACCAUCUAGAGACCGAAAUGAGCAAAUAAAUGCACUAAGGACCCGUCUGCCCGUUUUCUGGCCGGUGAAGAUACUGACCUCCUCCCGUCGUUUUUCAUUCCGGACAAAAAUCAAGUGUUGACCUGUAACUUACACCUGUAAAAUAAAUACAUGUGUAUAAACUUACAGCCAUUCCAAGCGGGCUUUAAAAUGUGUUUACAUACUGUACAUCUGAAUCAGAAAAAGAAAAAGAACAUCUUAUAUCUGUGAAUGGAGAAAGUAACAAACACCGCACCACUCAGAUUUUCCAAAAGCGUACCAUCUCCAUACUUACAAACGUUGACCGUUGACAGUCCGUACGCAGUGACGUGUCGGCGCCGUCGUCACUACCGGCCAGUGGCAACGGCGAGACUGUUUACGUUGCGUUGUCCGCGCACAAAGCAUGUCACGACCUCACCUCUCACGCUUCCAACGCACCACGCCCACCACGGCAGGCCACGUGGACGCUUCUCCACGCGGCGUCUUCCCAUUGGACGGGUGACUCAAUCCCCUGCCGGUUCUGCCCCGUUUUAUUUCCAAGCCAAUCUACCCACCAACCCCUCACACUUCCCAUAUUUCUCAAUCCGCCCACCGCUGCAGAAACCAGUGCACCGACAAGGCCCUACUCCGGGACCCAAAAUACUUCCAGGGUCUCGAACGCAAAACCUUUUAACAGCAGCAGAAAGGAAAAAAAAAACGAUUUUUGCAAUCGGAAAUAUAGCUCGCACGCACGGCCUCCCCUCCCUCCCCGUCGAGAUCGUUCUCCCGUGCUCCCCUCCGGCUCCGUCCACACUCGCCAGCUCCAGAUCUCCAAACCCUGACCCCCCCGCAUGCCAUCGCACUAGCCCGCCCCUCCCCCCCAUGGCGCCGCGUCUCCUUCUCCUCGCCCUCGUCGCGGCGGCCGUGGCCGUGCCGCCGGCGAGCGCCGCGGUGGCGAGCAUCGACCUGGGCUCCGAGUGGCUCAAGGUCGCGGCCGUGCACCUCGCCCCGGGCCGCGCGCCGAUCGCCGUCGCCAUCAACGAGAUGUCCAAGCGCAAGUCCCCCGCGCUCGCCGCGCUCGCCGACGGCAACCGCCUCGCCGGCGAGGAGGCGGCCGGCAUCACCGCGCGCCACCCGGCCAAGGUCUUCUCCCGCAUGCGCGACCUCCUCGCCAAGCCCUUCCCCUACGCGCGGGCCCUCGCCGACUCGCUCUUCCUCCCCUACGACCUCGUCCAGGACGCGCGCGGCGCCGCCGCGGUGCGCGCCGACGACGGCCAGGUCUACACCGUCGAGGAGAUCGUCGCCAUGGUGCUCCACUACGCCUCCGGGAUCGCCGACGCCCACGUCGGCCUGCCCGUGCGGGACGCCGUCGUCGCCGUGCCGCCCUACUUCGGCCAGGCCGAGCGCCGGGCCCUCACGCAGGCGGCCCAGCUCGCCGGCUUCAACGUCCUGGCGCUCGUCAACGAGCACGCCGGGGCCGCGCUGCAGUACGGGAUCGACAAGGACUUCUCCAACGAGUCGCGCCAUGUCAUCUUUUACGACAUGGGCUCAGGCAGCACCUACGCCGCGCUCGUCUACUACUCGUCCUACAACGCCAAGGAGUUCGGGAAGACGGUGUCUGUCAAUCAGUUCCAGGUAAAAUUCUCCCGCCUUGUUCUGUUGCGUGUAAAUCCGAGUGGAUUGAAGGGGUUUGAGGAGGAUUUAAACCUCUUCCAAGUCAAAAUAUGAACCAAUCCUUGCCAAUCCCCUCCAAUCCUCUUGGGGAGAGGAUUAACCGAACAAAGCCUUAGCUGUUCAAUUCUGCUUCAACUCAUAUGCGAUCUCUGAAGAAAAAACUGUUACUAGUGCUUUCACAUGCCUAGAUUAUUGUAGAUCUGAAAAAACAUGAAAUUUUAGCUGCUAUCUCGAACAGGCAUCUAGUGCUAAUGCUUUUAGCUAAUUCCUCUGCAGGUUAAGGAUGUCAGAUGGAACUCCAAACUUGGAGGCCUUGAAAUGGAAAUGCGCCUGGUUAACUAUUUUGCCGAUCAAUUUAACAAGCAGCUUGGCAAUGGGGAUGACAUCCGUCAGUCUCCUAAAGCAAUGGCCAAGUUGAAGAAGCAGGUCAAGCGAACCAAAGAAAUUCUGAGCGCAAAUACUGCUGCUCCGAUCUCAGUUGAAUCUCUAUAUAAUGAUAUCGAUUUCAGGUGCGUCCUUCCAUACAUGCAUAAUCUUUGGAUGAACGUUUAUAUGAAACUUAAAGAUGAACCGAACUGUACAAACAGGCUAACAUGUCCCAUCUUAUGUCCUGCAUCGAUUCUGAACACAUGAGCCUUUUACUUGUAAGCAAACAUAAUCUGGAGUAGCAUGGAUGACAGGCCCUGUUAUUUCAUACAGUAUUUGUCAAAUGGUCUGACUUUUGAUAGAUCAAGUUGAUUUCUUUGUCUCCUUUAAAGUGCGUAGAUGCAGUAUCAAUUGACUAAAGGGUCUGUCUAGGGCACAUCUAGAUGUGCCCUAGUUAUUGCACAUCUAAGUGACUCAAUCAAAUGUAGAAAGAAAAAUAAAUAGAAAAAAGAAAAAUAACCGCAUGUCUCUCCGUGUAAAAUCAAUGACAUAUGAAUAUUUAGGCAGAUCUAAAUGUGCUUUAGCAAAACCGUUGAAUAAAGGUUGUUUUGGUACUGCUUUUGCAUAUCUCUUGUGAAUAGUUUCUACUACAUUGAAGUUCUGCAUCCGUUUUCAUUGCAUAUUCAUGAUUAUGUGGAACUUGCAAGAUUAUACCAGCUUCUAACUUGUCAUUGUUGGUAUUUUCCGUAGGCCCAUUGGCCAUUGAUGUCCUUAUUCCUGACGGCUUUGUUCUGUAAUUAUUGAUCUUUUACCCCAGCUCAUGCAGCUUUCCCUUAGUUUUUCUCAGCAUAGAGUGUACCUUUAAUCCUAAAUCAUGAUUAGGAAAAAAUUCAAGGUUUUACAUGCUGACUGACAUGCUGUUUAUUACAGGAGCACCAUAACACGUGAAAAAUUUGAAGAGCUUUGUGCAGAUUUAUGGGAGCAGGCUCUGACUCCAAUCAAAGAUGUGCUCACGCAUUCAGGCAUGAAAAUUGGUGACAUAUAUGCUGUAGAGCUAAUUGGAGGAGCUACCAGGGUACCAAAACUGCAGGUGAUUAUUACUCCCUCAUUCAAGACUUAUACUUGACUUGCCAUUGAGGCGCUGUAAUGGAAUGCAGGACUGUUGCAUUGUUGAAUUUCUGGAACUUUCUGUGUAUGCUCAUAUAAACUAAACUGAUUUUAGAACCUGGGUGCAUGCGAUUGCCUGCUUCUUAUUACACCUUUUCUCUCGUAAGAAGGUUUCAUCGUGAACGGAAUUGAGUAUUUGGCACGGGGUUUAUAAACUGCUGUUAGUCAUACAGAGGACUUCAUUACUUAUGGAAUAGAGUUACAUGCCUUAUCUAUCUGUACCAUUUAUUGUUAUUUUGAAUCUCAGUGUUUAUAUUAUUUGUCACAUUUUGACUCACGGGGCACAUUUGUAUUCCUCUGUUCCAGGCUAAGCUGCAGGAAUUCCUGGGACGAAGUGAGCUAGAUAAGCACCUUGAUGCUGAUGAAGCAAUUGUUCUUGGUGCCUCACUGCAUGCUGCUAAUCUAAGUGAUGGGAUUAAGUUGAACCGCAAGUUGGGGAUGAUUGACGGUUCUACUUAUGGUUUCGUGUUUGAAAUAGAUGGCCCAGAUUAUGUCAAAGAUGAAAGUACUGAUCAAGUACUGGUUCCAAGGAUGAAAAAGAUGCCAAUAAAGGUUAAACAGUAUUAGUCAAGCUCUUACUUUACUUGUCGGCAAACUUUGCCUGUUGUUUGAAAAAAUAUAUCUGAACAAGAUUUUUAUUUGUCUGUUGUCUACAGUUGUUCAGGUCCAUUAGACAUACUAAGGACUUUGAUGUCUCUCUCAGCUAUGACAAAGCUUCUGAAUUGCCCCCAGGUGUUUCAUCGCACAAGUUUGCAGAGUAUGCCAUAUCAGGCCUGGCAGAAACCAGUGAAAAGUAAGCACAAUGUUGAUGUUAUUUUGGUGCGCAGUCUCAAGUGUCAACUCUCAACCCUGCUCAUAGUCAACUUAACAGCCUGAAAGGACCUUUAUGUGAACUAAUAUUUAUUGUGAAUAGUCUGUCUGUGAAGUUGUAAUACAUAUAUGGUCGUGUCAAUAUAAUUCCAACUAAAAAAGGGCUCUAGCGCCUUGAAAAUCAAGUGGUACUGCCAUUCUGUUGUAUUACUUGUAUUCACCUCAUGUUUUGGUUCAGUGCAUCAAUUUAAGUAUUUAACAAUGUACAUUUUUCAAUCAGGUAUGGAAGCCGCAAUUUAUCUGCACCCAUCAAAGCAAAUCUACAUUUUUCUUUGAGUAGAAGUGGAAUUAUUUCUCUUGAUAGGGCAGAAGCAGUGAUUGAGAUAACUGAAUGGGUUGAAGUUCCAAAGAAGAACGUAACACUAGAGACUAAUACCACCGAUGAGACUUUGUCUGCUGAAUCAGGAACAACUGAUAGUACAACAGAUAGUAAGGAGAAUUCUAGUUCAGGAAGUGAUGCUGAUAAUUCGAGCACUACCAAUGAUGAGACCAAUGUGCAAGAUACUAUUACAGAGAAGGUGCUGAAGAAAAGAACCUUCAGGGUUCCAUUAAAGGUAAACUAUACUUGGUAAAUUUAUGCUAAUAUUGACAUGGCAUAGAACAUAUGACAUAGAUUAAUUUAUGUGUCUUACUUUUUAAUAUAGGUCACUGAAAAAACUGCUGGUCCUGCAUCAACCCUUUCAAAGGAACUGUAUUCUGAGGCAAAAAGUAGGUUAGAUGUACUUAACAAGAAGGAUGCUGAGCGGAGGAGAACUGCCGAAUUGAAAAAUAACCUUGAGUCUUACAUAUACUCUAUGAAGGAAAAGGUACCUUCUCUUUGCAAAGUUUGUAGCUUGUUGUGAUGUGAACAUUGCCAGUACGUGGCAUACUAUACUGUACAUUACUUUUUAUGUGACGCACCUUAUUUCUGUUUGACUGCUUAAUUGCUGCCAUUUGACACAUCGCAGUUGGAGGAAAGCACAGAUAUGUUGGCCGUCUCAACUGAACAGGAGAGGGAAUCUUUUACAGAGAAACUCAGUGAGGUUAGUCAAAUAACGGAUCGUGCUCGGGGUAUAAUUUGUCUAGGAUAUGUCUCAUGCUGAAGUUGUUGUUGACAAAUGCAGGUGCAGGAUUGGCUGUAUAUGGAUGGUGAAGAGGCUCAAGCAAAUGAAUUUCAAGAGCGCCUUGAUCAGCUUAAGGCCAUGGGCGACCCAAUUCUUUUCAGGUAAUUAAUUUUUGUCAACUUAAGUCCAUAUCACUCAGUUACUGAUAUUGUUUUUUUUUUUGUUAUACAGAAUGAGUGAGUUAAAAGCCCGACCAGCAGCUUGCGGAAGUGCUCGAUUGUAUCUUACUGAGCUACAAAAGGUAUCCCCGAGAUGAGCAAAUGACUUCUCUAUCUAAAAUAAUUUGUCCUUAACACAAUGUACUUGAAUUUCACAUAAGAACCAAUAUUGUUUACGUGAUUGCACCUAAAAUAAUGCUUGCAUUAAGAAAGAACAUAAUACUUGAGCAAAAAACAUUUAUCUGGAAAGGUCAAGCAUUGUAUUACAACACAACUUUUUGGCAUGGUUCAUCCUCCACCUGUCACUGCCACAAAACAAAAUUUCAUGCACGGGUCAUUCUUCAUUUUCAUUAGUUCUUGAAGCUGUCAUUGUACUAAAAUAUUCAAAAGAGAUCAUGUCAGUGCAAUCUUGGAUCCUUUCUUAAAUUGCAAAUUUGCAAAGUAGAUUACCUGAUAAUAAUCAGACUUUUGUAGGCACAAAAACAGUGAAGUUUGGACAUUCCUGAGUUCCGAAUAAGCUAAACACGCACUACAUUAAAGUUUAUCUGCAUUAUAGUACUGUUGAGUCUUAAAAUUUGUAGAUGGUUCUACUAAGUGGGUGCUGUGUUGUUGCAUUCUCAUGUAUUCUUUCUCUUUUUUUACCCUGCAGAUUGUUAAGAACUGGGAGACAAGCAAAUCAUGGCUUCCAAAAAAGAGAGUAGAUGAGGUCGUAAGCGAAGCGGAUAAGCUGAAAGCUUGGUUGGAGGAGAAGGAAGCCCUACAGAAGAGGUAUGCCUUUUUUUAUUUAAGAAAAACCAUUCUCGAGUACUAUUUACGUUCAAGUGGCUAACUCCAAACGACCAUUGUAGUACCCCUGCCCACAGCUCGCCUGCCUUCACAUCUGAAGAGGUCUAUCAGAAAGUUUUAACCCUACAAAAUAAGGUCAGAAUUUUAUACUUGGCAUCCUAGCACACCAGGUUCAACAUUGAUCCAACUUCUCAACAUAACGGAAACUCAAUUGAUAUGCAGGUCUCUAGCGUCAAUAGGAUCCCAAAACCAAAACCCAAGGUUGAGAAGAAACCCGCCGCAAAGGAAGAAGCUAACAAGGAGAAGACGGACUCUUCAGAAUCUGCAUCCAGCGAGUCUGAAUCCACCGAGAAGUCAUCGGAAUCAGAUGCAUCGGAAAAGACUAACGAUUCGGAACCGGAAUCCCAUGACGAAUUGUGAUUAUUAGAAUUGGCUUUUGAACACCCCCGAGAGAUACUACUCAAUAUACUCCCGAGAAGAUAGUUUGUCACCACCACAGUUGUGUUUGGCGGCUGAAAAGACAGAGAGGUUUGUGUAGGAAUUCACGGCAGGCUAGAUGCUAUAUGGGCGAGAAGAAUUUGAUAUCAAUCGCUGUAUAGCAGUAUUGUGGACUCUAGGGCAUAUGCUGUCAAGAUAGCGCCUCGAAAGGCUUAGUUGUCAGGACUGAGAAGACUUUGUAGCUGCAUUGUUGUACUGGAAACUCAUUUAUAUUUUGAUAACAGCUACUAUAGAGAUUUUAUGUUUGGUAUCGAUGUAUCUGUUUGCUCUUUCAUACUGUCUAUCACGCAGUGCCGCUAACUUGCAGUUAAAGGAAUAAAGAGCGGAUGUUUAAGACUAGAGUGCAUCCGGCUGCAUCAACUGUGAAAGCGACAUUCGAUCUACCGGAUUGGUUUGAAAGUACAUAAUAGAAUUUUGAAAUUUGUGAAUAUCUUUGCAUGACGAUGACGUUGUCUUUGUGAUGUGUACGUUUGUAUGAGUCACGCUCUCUAGCAUUUGGGUUGAAACAUAUUGUUUUACUUGGUUUCACCAGAAUAUUCUCUCCUAAAGAUGAAGGUUUUGCUUGUGGUGGGAAACUGCAAGAUAAACAAGUAUGCUUACCGGCAAAAAGAUGCUGGAAAUAGCAUUUGAGUAUGGCCCAAGAUUUGGCUUGUUAGAACUGGUUGCCAGAAUAUGUUUUGUGAGGGCUCGAUAACAAAAGGGAACUUUUUUUUGACAAAUCAUCUCCUCCUUUAUUCAAUCACAAUUGUAUCAUUUACAAGAAAAAGUAUAAUCUCAUCCGGAGGUUAAUCCAUCCAGAUACUAGGAGGAGAGAACUUGGCCAACUUGGCCAAUUCAUGAGCUACCUGAUUAUUAUCUCUAAUACAUGAAUCAAACAAAACGUGAUUAAAGUCUAGCGACAUGUAAUAACAGUCAUCGAAUAUAGCACUUGCCACUGAGCUGAAGAAGCCUUCCUUCAAAGCAUUAACAAGUUCUUCAUUGUCGGAGACAACCUCAAUCUUGCUACAUCCCAGUGUCUGUGCUAAGUUUAACCCAAAUCUCACAGCCGUUGCUUCAGCAGAAAAUGAGUCAUAGCAAAAAUUCAGUCUUUCGUUUGCCGCAACUAUAAAUUUGCCAUUAUCAUCUCGGAGAAUUGCACCAACCGUACCAUUCAGAUUGUCAUGAUCAAACCCAACAUAUACAUUAAGUUCCAUAUAUCCCGACCGGGGCUUAGACCAAGCCAUCACUCUCAUCUUCGCUUUGGGCUUACAUGCUAUAACAAAGUUCGCUGCUAGUCCCCUUACCGCCAAUUGAAUUUGGGCUACAGUUUGUGUUUUCUCACCACAUGUUAGUUUCCUCCGCUCAAACCACAAAUACCAGGCAGUAGUUGCUAUUGUCUCCCUCAGAUUAGGCAACCCAAGUACAUGGAUGUCCGAGUCCUGAAAACACAAAAGAUGCUCAAGCACUACUUCACCAAACCUACUCACACGACAAGCUUUCUUGAUAAUAACAAAAGGGAACAUUGUUUUGGGAGAGCCCUGUUGUGGAACGUAGUAAUUUCAAAAAAAUUCCUACGCACACGCAAGAACAUGGUGAUGCAUAGCAACGAGAGGGGAGAGUGUUGUCCACGUACCCUCGUAGACCGAAAGCGGAAGCGUUAUGACAACGCGGUUGAUGUAGUCGUACAUCUUCACGGCCCGACCGAUCAAGCACCGAAAGUACGGCACCUCCGAGUUCUAGCACACGUUCAGCUCAAUGACGUUCCUCGAACUCCGAUCCAGCCGAGUGUCGAGGAAGAGUUCCGUCAGCAUGACGGCGUGGUGACGAUCUUGAUGUUCUACCGUCGCAGGGCUUCGCCUAAGCACCGCUACAAUAUUAUCGAGGAGGAUUAUGGUGGAGGGGGGCACCGCACACGACUAAGAGAUCAAUGAUCAAUUGUUGUGUCUAGAGGUGCCCCCUGCCCCCGUAUAUAAAGGAGCAAGGGGGAGGGGGCGGCCGGCCAGGGAGGAGGCGCGCCAAGGGGAGUCCUACUCCCACCGGGAGUAGGACUCCCUCCUUUCCUUGUCCAAGUAGGAGAGGGGGAAGGAAGGGAGAGAGAGGGAAGGAAGGAAAGGGGGGGGGGGGCGCCGCCCCCCCUCCUUGUCCUAUUCGGACUAGAGGGGAAGGGGGCGCGCGGCCUGCCCUGGCCGCCCCUCUUCUUCUCCACUUUGGGCCCAAGUGACCCAUUAACCCCCCGGGGGGUUCCGGUAACCCCCCGGUACUCCGGUAUAUAUCCGAUAACCUGUGAAACUUAUUCCGGUGUCCGAAUAUAGUCAUCCAAUAUACCAAUCUUCAUGUCUCGACCAUUUCGAGACUCCUCGUCAUGUCCGUAAUCACAUUCGGAACUCUGAACACACUUCGGUACAUCAAAACUCAUAAUCAUAAUAUAACUGUCAUCGAAACCUUAAGCGUGCGGACCCUACGGGUUCGAGAACUAUGUAGACAUGACCGAGAACCGUUUCCGUUCAAUAACCAAUAGCGGAACCUGGAUGCUCAUAUUGGCUCCUACAUAUUCUACGAAGAUCUUUAUCGGUCAAACCGCAUAACAACAUACGUUGUUCCCUUUGUCAUCGGUAUGUUACUUGCCCGAGAUUUGAUCGUCGGUAUCUCAAUACCUAGUUCAAUCUCGUUACCAGCAAGUCUCUUUACUCAUUACGUAAUGCAUCAUUCCGUAACUAACUCAUUAGCUACAUUGCUUGCAAGGCUUAUAGUGAUGUGCAUUAUCGAGAGGGCCCAGAGAUACCUCUCCGACAAUCGGAGUGACAAAUCCUAAUCUCGAAAUACGCCAACCCAACAUGUACCUUCGGAGACACCUGUAGAGCUCCUGUAUAAUCACCCAGUUAUGUUGUGACGUUUGGUAGCACACAAAGUGUUCCUCCGGUAAACGGGAGUUGCAUAAUCUCAUAGUUGUAGGAACAUGUAUAAGUCAUGAAGAAAGCAAUAGCAACAUACUAAACGAUCAAGUGCUAAGCUAACGGAAUGGGUCAAGUCAAUCACAUCAUUAUCCUAAUGAUGUGAUCCCGUUAAUCAAAUGACAACUCAUGUCUAUGGUUAGGAAACAUAACCAUCUUUGAUUAAUGAGCUAGUCAAGUAGAGGCAUACUAGUGACUUUAAGUUUGUCUAUGUAUUCACACAUGUAUCAUGUUUCCGGUUAAUACAAUUAUAGCAUGAAUAAUAAACAUUUAUCAUGAUAUGAGGAAAUAAAUAAUAACUUUAUUAUUGCCUCUAGGGCAUAUUUCCUUCAGUCUCCCACUUGCACUAGAGUCAAUAAUCUAGAUUACACAGUAAUGAUUCUAACACCCAUGGAGUCUUGGUGCUGACCAUGUUUUGCUCGUGAAAGAGGCUUAGUCAACGGGUCUGCAAUAUUCAGAUCUGUAUGUAUCUUGCAAAUCUCUAUGUCUCCCACCUGGACUUGGUCCCGGAUGGAAUUGAAGCGUCUCUUGAUGUGCUUGGUCCUUUUGUGAAAUCUGGAUUCCUUUGCCAAGGCAAUUGCACCAGUAUUGUCACAGAAGAUCUUCAUUGGUCCCGAUGCACUAGGUAUGACACCUAGAUCGGAAAUGAACUCCUUCAUCCAGACUCCUUCAUUUGCUGCUUCCGAAGCAGCUAUGUACUCUGCUUCGCAUGUAGAUCUCGCCACGACGCUUUGUUUAGAACUGCACCAACUGACAGCUCCACCGUUCAAUAUAAACAUGUAUCCGGUUUGCGAUUUAGAAUUGUCCGGAUCAGUGUCAAAGCUUGCAUCGACGUAACCAUUUACGACUAGCUCUUUGUCACCUCCAUAAAUGAGAAACAUAUCCUUGGUCCUUUUCAGGUAUUUCAGGAUGUUCUUGACCGUUGUCCAGUGAUCCACUCCUGGAUUACUUUGAUACCUUCCUGCCAAACUUAUUGCUAAGCAUACAUCAGGUCUGGUACACAGCAUUGCAUACAUGAUAGAGCCUAUGGCUGAAGCAUAGGGAACAUCUUUCAUUUUCUCUCUAUCUUCUGCUGUGGUCGGCCAUUGAGUUUGACUCAACUUCACACCUUGUAAUACAUGCAAGAACCCUUUCUUUGCCUGAUCCAUUUUGAACUUUUUUAAAACUUUAUCAAGGUAUGUACUUUGUGAAAGUCCAAUUAAGUGUCUUGAUCUAUCUCUAUAGAUCUUGAUGCCCAAUAUGUAAGCAGCUUCACCGAGGUCUUUCAUUGAAAAACUUUUAUUCAAGUAUCCCUUUAUGCUAUCCAGAAAUUCUAUAUCAUUUCCAAUUAACAAUAUGUCGUCUACAUAUAAUAUCCGAAAUGCUACAGAGCUCCCACUCACUUUCUUGUAAAUACAGGCUUCUCCAAAAGUCUGUAUAAAACCAUAUGCUUUGAUUACACCAUCAAAGCGCUUAUUCCAACUCUGAGAGGCUUGCACCAGUCCAUAAAUGGAUCGCUGGAGCUUGCACACUUUGUUAGCACCUUUUGGAUCGACAAAACCUUCUGGUUGCAUCAUAUAUAACUCUUCUUCUAGAGAUCCAUUCAAGAAUGCAGUUUUGACAUCCAUUUGCCAUAUUUCAUAAUCAUAAAAUGCGGCAAUCGCUAACAUGAUUCGGACAGACUUAAGCAUCGCUACGAGUGAGAAAGUCUCAUCGUAGUCAACCCCUUGAACUUGUCAAAAACCUUUUGCAACAAGUCGAGCUUUGUAGAUAGUUACAUUACCAUCAGCGUCAGUCUUCUUCUUGAAAAUCCAUUUAUUCUCGAUGGCUUGCCGAUCAUCGGGCAAGUCAACCAAAGUCCAUACUUUGUUCUCAUACAUGGAUCCCAUCUCAGAUUUCAUGGCCUCAAGCCAUUUUGCGGAAUCUGGGCUCAUCAUUGCUUCCUCAUAGUUCGUAGGUUCGUCAUGGUCAAGUAACAUAACUUCCAGAAUAGGAUUACCAUACCACUCUGGUGUGGAUCUUACUCUGGUUGACCUACGAGGUUCGGUAGUAACUUGAUCUGAAGUUUCAUGAUCAAUAUCAUUAGCUUCCUCACUGAUUGGUGUAGUUGUCACAGGAACGGUUUCUUGUGAUGAACUACUUUCCAAUAAGGGAGCAGGUACAGUUACCUAAUCAAGUUCUACUUUCCUCCCACUCACUUCUUUCGAGAGAAACUCCUUCUCUAGAAAGGAUCCUAAUUUAGCAACAAAAAUCUCGCCCUCAGAUCUGUGAUAGAAGGUGUACCCAAUAGUCUCUUUUGGGUAUCCUAUGAAGACACAUUUCUCCGAUUUGGGUUCGAGCUUAUCUGGUUGAAGUUUAUUCACAUAAGCAUCGCAGCCCCAAACUUUAAGAAAUGACAACUUUGGUUUCUUGCCAAACCACAGUUCAUAAGGCGUCGUCUCAACGGAUUUUGAUGGUGCCCUAUUUAACGUGAAUGCGGUCAUCUCUAAAGCAUAACCCCAAAACGAUAGCGGUAAAUCAGUAAGAGACAUCAUAGAUCGCACCAUAUCUAGUAAAGUACGAUUACGACGUUCGGACACACCAUUUCAUUGUGGUGUUCCGAGUGGCAUGAGUUGCGAAACUAUUCCGCAUUGCUCCAAAUGUAAACCAAACUCGUAACUCAAAUAUUCUCCUCCAAGAUCAGAUUGUAGAAACUUUAUUUUCUUGUUACGAUGAUUUUCCACUUCACUCUGAAAUUCUUUGAACUUUUCAAAUGUUUCAGACUUAGGUUUCAUCAAGUAGAUAUACCCAUAUCUGCUCAAAUCAUCUGUGAAGGUGAGAAAAUAACAAUACCCGCCGCGAGCCUCAAUAUUCAUUGGACCACACACAUCGGUAUGUAUGAUUUACAAUAAAUCAGUUGCUCGCUCCAUAGUUCCGGAGAACGGCGUUUUAGUCAUCUUGCCCAUGAGGCACGGUUCGCAAGUACCUAGUGAUUCAUAAUCAAGUGAUUCUAGAAGUCCACCAGUAUGGAGUUUCUUCAUGCGCUUUACACCAAUAUGACCCAAACGGAAGUGCCACAAAUAAGUUGCACUAUCAUUCUCAACUCUGCAUCUUUUGGCUUCAACAUUAUGAAUGUGUGUAUCACUACUAUCGAGAUUUAAUAAAAAUAGACCACUCUUCAAGGGUGCAUGACCAUAAAAGAUAUUACUCAUAUAAAUGGAACAACCAUUAUUCUCUGAUUUAAAUGAAUAACCAUCUCGCAUCAAACAAGAUCCAGAUAUAAUGUUCAUGCUUAACGCUGGCAUCAAAAAACAAUUAUUCAGGUCUAAAACUAUUCUCGAAGGUAGAUGUAGAGGUAGCGUGCCGACUGCGAUCACAUCGACUUUGGAACCAUUUCCCACGCUCAUCGUCACCUCGUCCUUAGCCAAUCUUCGCUUAAUCCGUAGUCCCUGUUUCGAGUUGCAAAUAUUAGCAACAAAACCAGUAUCAAAUACCCAGGUGCUACUAUAAGCAUUAGUAAGGUACACAUCAAUAACAUGUAUAUCACAUAUACCUUUGUUCACCUUGCCAUCCUUUUUAUCCGCCAAAUACUUGGGGCAGUUCCGCUUCCAGUGACCAGUCUGUUUGCAGUAGAAGCACUCAGUCUCAGGCUUAGGUCCAGACUUGGGUGUCUUCUCUUGAGCAGCAACUUGUUUGCUAUUUUUCUUGAAGUUCCCCUUAUUCUUCCCUUUACCCUUUUUCUUGAAACUAGUGGUCUUAUUGACCAUCAACACUUGAUGCUCCUUCUUGAUUUCUACCUCCGCAGCCUUUAGCAUUGCAAAGAGCUCGGGAAUAGUUUUGUCCAUCCCUUGCAUAUUAUAGUUCAUCACGAAGCUCUUGUAGCUUGGUGGCAGUGAUUGGAGAAUUCUGUCAAUGAUGCAAUCAUCCGGAAGAUUAACUCCCAGUUGAAUCAAGUGAUUGUUAUACCCAGACAUUCUGAGUAUAUGCUCACUGACAGAACUAUUCUCCUCCAUCUUGCAGCUAUAGAACUUAUUGGAGACUUCAUAUCUCUCAAUCCGGGCAUUUGCUUGAAAUAUUAACUUCAACUCCUGAAACAUCUCAUAUGCUCCAUGAUGUUCAAAACAUCGUUGAAGUCCCGGUUCUAAGCCGUAAAGCAUGGCACACUGAACUAUUGAGUAGUCAUCAGCUUUGCUCUGCCAAACGUUCACAACGUCUGCAGUUGCAUCUGCAGCAGGUCUGACACCCAGCGGUGCUUCCAGGACGUAAUUCUUCUGUGCAGCAAUGAUGAUACUCCUCAAGUUAUGGACCCAGUCCGUGUAAUUGCUACCAUCAUCUUUCAACUUUGCUUUCUCAAGGAACAUAUUAAAAUUUAACAGAACAACAGCACGAGCCAUCUAUCUACAACAAACAUAGGCAUGCAAAAUACUAUCAGGUACUAAGUUCAUGAUAAAUUUAAGUUCAAUUAAUCAUAUUACUAAAGAACUCCCACUUAGACAGACAUCUCUCUAGUCAUCUAAGUGAUCACGUGAUCCAAAUCAACUAAACCAUGUCCGAUCAUCACGUGAGAUGGAGUAGUUUUCAAUGAUGAACAUCACUAUGUUGAUCAUAUCUACUAUAUGAUUCACGUUCGACCUUUCGGUCUCCGUGUUCCGAGGCCAUAUCUGUAUAUGCUCGGCUCAUCAAUUUUAACCUGAGUAUUCCGCGUGUGCAACUGUUUUGCAUCCGUUGUAUUUGAACGUAGAGCCUAUCACACCCGACCAUCACGUGGUGUCUCAGCACGAAGAACUUUUGCAAUGGUGCAUACUCACGGAGAACACUUCUUGAUAAUUAGUGAGAGAUCAUCUUAAAAUGCUACCGUCAAUCAAAGCAAGAUAAGAUGCAUAAAGGAUAAACAUCACAUGCAAUCAAUAUAAGUGAUAUGAUAUGUCCAUCAUCAUCUUGUGCUUGUGAUCUCCAUCUCCGAAGCACCGUCGUGAUCACCAUCGUCACCGAUGCGACACCUUGACCUCCAUCAUAGCAUUGUUGUCGUUACGCCAUCUAUUGCUUCUACGACCAUCGCUACCGCUUAGUGAUAAAGUAAAGCAAUUACAGGGCGUUUGCAUUUCAUACAAUAAAGCGACAACCAUAUGGCUCCUGCCAGUUGCCGAUAACUUUGGUUACAAAACAUGAUCAUCUCAUACAAUAAAAUAUAGCAUCACGUCUUGACCAUAUCACAUCACAACAUGCCCUGCAAAAACAAGUUAGACGUCCUCUACUUUGUUGUUGCAAGUUUUAUGUGGCUGCUACGGGCUGAGCAAGAACCGUUCUUACCUACGCAUAAAAACCACAACGAUAGUUCGUCAAGUUAGUGUUGUUUUAACCUUCUCAAGGACCGGGCGUAGCCACACUUGUUUCAACUAAAGUUGGAGAAACUGACACCCGCCAGCCACCUGUGUGCAAAGCACAUCGGUAGAACCAGUCUCGCGUAAGCGUACGCAUAAUGCCGGUCUGGGCCGCUUCAUCCAACAAUACCGCCGAACCAAAGUAUGACAUGCUGGUAAGCAGUAUGACUUGUAUCGCCCACAACUCACUUGUGUUCUACUCGUGCAUAUAACAUCAAUGCAUAAAACCUAGGCUCUGAUACCACUGUUGGGGAACGUAGUAAUUUCAAAAAAUUUCCUACGCACACGCAAGAACAUGGUGAUGCAUAGCAAUAAGAGGGGAGAGUGUUGUCCAUGUACCCUUGUAGACCGUGCGGUUGAUGUAGUCGUACGUCUUCACGGCCUGACCGAUCAAGCACCGAAACUACGGCACCUCCGAGUUCUAGCACACGUUCAGCUCGAUGACAUCCCUCGAACUCCGAUCCAGUCGAGUGUCGAGGGAGAGUUCCGUCAGCACGACGGCGUGGGUGACGAUCUUGAUGUUCUACCAUCGCAGAGCUUCGCCUAAGCACCGCUAUAAUAUUAUCGAGGAGGAUUAUGGUGGAGGAGGGCACCACACAGGCUAAGAGAUCAAUGAUCAAUUGUUGUGUCUAGAGGUGCCCCCCUGCCCCCGUAUAUAAAGGAGCAAGGGGGAGGGGGCGGCCGGCCAGAGAGGAGGCGCGCCAAGGGGAGUCGUACUCCCACCGGGAGUACGACUCCCUCCUUUCCUUGUCCAAGUAGGAGAGGGGGAAGGAAGGAAGAGAGAGGGGAGGAAGGAAAGGGGGGGGGGCGCCCGCCCUCCUUGUCCAAUUCAGACUAGAGGGGGAGGAGGAGCACGACCUGCCCUGGCCGCCCCUGCUCUUCUCCACUUUGGGACCAAGUGGCCCAUUAACCCCCCAGGGGGUUCCGGUAACCCCCUGAUACUCCGGUAUAUAUCCGAUAACCUCCGAAACUUAUUCUGGUGUCUGAAUAUAGUCGUCCAAUAUACCAAUCUUCAUGUCUCGACCAUUUCGAGACUCCUCGUCAUGUCCGUAAUCACAUUCGGUUCUCCGAACACACUUCGGUACAUCAAAACUCAUAAACUCAUAAUAUAACUGUCAUCGAAACCUUAAGCGCGCGGACCCUACGGGUUCGAGAACUAUGUAGACAUGACCGAGAACCAUUUCUGGUCAAUAACAAAUAGCGGAACCUGGAUGCUCAUAUUGGCUCCUACAUAUUCUACGAAGAUCUUUAUCGGUCAAACCGCAUAACAACAUACGUUGUUCCCUUUGUCAUCGGUAUGUUACUUGCCCGAGAUUUGAUCAUCGGUAUCUCAAUACCUAGUUCAAUCUCAUUACCGGCAAGUCUCUUUACUCGUUAUGUAAUGCAUCAUUCCGUAACUAACUCAUUAGCUACAUUGCUUGCAAGGCUUAUAGUGAUGUGCAUUACCGAGAGGGUCCAGAUAUACCUCUCCGACAAUCGGAGUGACAAAUCCUAAUCUCGAAAUACGCCAACCCAACAUGUACCUUCGGAGACACCUGUAGAGCUCCUUUAUAAUCACCCAGUUACGUUGUGAUGUUUGGUAGCACACAAAGUGUUCCUCCGGUAAACGGGAGUUGCAUAAUCUCAUAGUUGUAGGAACAUGUAUAAGUCAUGAAGAAAGCAAUAGCAACAUACUAAACGAUCAAGUGCUAAGCUAACGGAAUGGGUCAAGUCAAUCACAUCAUUCUCCUAAUGAUGUGAUCCCAUUAAUCAAAUGACAACUCAUGUCUAUGGUUUGGAAACAUAACCAUCUUUGAUUAAUGAGCUAGUCAAGUAGAGGCAUACUAGUGACUUUAAGUUUGUCUAUGUAUUCACACAUGUAUCAUGUUUUCGGUUAAUACAAUUAUAGCAUGAAUAAUAAACAUUUAUCAUGAUAUGAGGAAAUAAAUAAUAACUUUAUUAUUGCCUCUAGGGCAUAUUUCCUUCAAGCCCAAUAACAAAAUGCUAUGCCAAAGCUAGGGAGUUGAGUGAUACCACUGGCAAAGACCACAUACCAUAGGAGUUGCGCCAGUGCCAACCCCCGCAGCCACACACACCAGAGGGUGGUGGUCAUUGGCUAAGGCAGUGUGUAAACACAGGGACGGGGAACAUUCUAACUCGUUGAGCUUGCACGAAGGAUGGGCAGAUUCUCCACCGAGAGGGUGGUCAAUGCCGAAGGGAGUGGGGAGCAAGAACAAGCAAUGAAGAAAUGAUGCAUGGUCUUAGAGAGUGCUCGUGAUGAAAUUAUCUCCACAUAAAGGGUGGCCACACCUAGCGUGGAGUGCAAACGAAGAGCACUGCACAGGAACGAGAAUAACAACAACACGAGCAUCUAGAAAGAAGAAGGGGAAUACGAGGAGAGUCCAAGUUUCUAUUUCUAGACCUAGAACCAGGAGCCAGAAGGCAGUGUAGCCCACUGCCAACUCUGAUAAUGGUGUUAGACCCCCUAGCAAAUCGACUAGGGGGAGGGGGAGGGGAAAAUCCAAAUGAAUGGCCUAUUCUGGAACUGCAGAGGAGCAGGGAAAAAAGGAAUGAUCACCUGUUUCUCUGAUCUGAUUAAGAAUCAUUCCCUAGAUUUUUUGUGUCUCCAGGAGACUAUGAAAAGAAAAUUCUGUUGGGGAACGUUGCAGAAAAUUAAAAUUUUUCCUAUGGUUUCACCAAGAUCCAUCUAUGAGUUCAUCUAAGCAACGAGUCUAGGGAGAGAGUUUGCAUCUACAUACCACUUGUAGAUCGCGUGCGGAAGCUUGCAAGGUGAUGAUGUAGUCGUACUCGACGUGAUCCAAAUCACCGAUGACCAGCGCCGAACGGACGGCACCUCCGCAUUCAACACACGUACGGGACGGGAGACGUCCCCUCCUUCUUGAUCCAGCAAGGGGGAAGGAGAGGUUGAUGAAGAUCCAGCAGCACGACGGCGUGGUGGUGGAUGCAGGGCGUCACAGCAGCAGGGCUUCGCCGAGACUACAAGGGAGAGACGUAACGGGGGGAGGUGGAGGCGCCAGGGGCUGGUGUAUGAAGUCCCUCCUCUCCCCCACUAUAUAUAGGGGUGCCAGGGGGGGCGCCGGCCCUAGUAGAUGAGAUCUACUAGGGGGGGCGGCGGCCUAGGGGAGGUUUCCCUCCCCCCCAAGGCACCUAGGGGUGCCUUCCACCACUAGGACUCCUCCUAGGGGGAAACCCUAGGCGCAUGGGCCUAUAGGGGCUGGUGCCCUUGGCCCAUGAUGGCCAAGGCGCACCCCCUACAGCCCAUGUGGCCCCCCGGGAUAGGUGGCCCCACCCGGUGGACCCCCGGGACCCUUCCGGUGGUCCCGGUACAAUACCGAUAACCCCGAAACUUGUCCCGAUGCCCGAAAUAGCACUUCCUAUAUAUAAUUCUUUACCUCCGGACCAUUCCGGAACUCCUCGUGACGUCCGGGAUCUCAUCCGGGACUCCGAACAACAUUCGGGUUUCUGCAUAUCCAUAUCUUCAUAACCCUAGCGUCACUGAACCUUAAGUGUGUAGACCCUACGGGUUCGGGAGACAUGCAGACAUGACCGAGACGCUCUCAGUCAAUAACCAUCAGCGGGAUCUGGAUACCCAUGAUGGCUCCCACAUGCUCCUCGAUGUUGUCAUCGGAUGAACCACUAUGUCGAGGAUUCGAUCAAACCCUGUAUGCAAUUCCCUUUGUCAAUCGGCACGUUACUUGCCCGAGACUCGAUCGUCGGUAUCCCAAUACCUUGUUCAGUCUCGUUACCGGCAAGUCACUUUACUCGUACCGUAAUGCAUGAUCCCGUGUCCAACACCUUGGUCACAUUGAGCUCAUUAUGAUGAUGCAUUACCGAGUGGGCCCAGAGAUACCUCUCCGUCAUACGGAGUGAUAAAUCCCAGUCUCGAUCCGUGUCAACCCAACAGCUACUCUCAGAGAUACCUGUAAUGCACCUUAUAGUCACCCAGUUACGUUGUGACGUUUGAUACACCCAAGGCACUUCUACGGUAUCCGGGAGUUACACGAUCUCAUGGUCUAAGGAAGAGAUACUUGACAUUGACAAAGCUCUAGCAAUACGAACUACAUGAUCUUUUAUGCUAUGCUUAGGAUUGGGUCUUGUCCAUCACAUCAUUCUCCUAAUGAUGUGAUCCUGUUAUCAACGACAUCCAAUGUCCAUAGUCAGGAAACCAUGACUAUCUGUUGAUCACAACAAGCUGGUCAACUAGAGGCUUACCAGGGACAUAGUGUGGUCUAAGUAUUCACACGUGCAUUACGAUUUCCGGAUAAUACAGUUAUAGCAUGAAUAAAAGACAAUUAUCAUGAACAAUGAAAUAUAAUAAUACUUUUAUUAUUGCCUCUAGGGCAUAUUUCCAACAGUCUCCCACUUGCACUAGAGUCACCAAUCUAGUUACAUUGCGAUGAAUCGAACACCCAUAGAGUUCUGGUGUUGAUCAUGUUUUGCACGCGAGAGAGGUUUAGUCAGCGGAUCUGCGACAUUCAGAUCCGUGUGCACUUUGCAAAUCUCUAUGUCUCCAUCUUGAACAUUUUCACGGAUGGAGUUGAAACGACGCUUGAUGUGCCUGGUCUUCUUGUGAAACCUGGGCUCCUUUGCGAGGGCAAUUGCUCCAGUGUUGUCACAGAAGAGUUUGAUCGGCCCCGACGCAUUGGGUAUGACUCCUAGGUCGGUGAUGAACUCCUUCACCCAAAUCGCUUCAUGUGCUGCCUCCGAGGCUGCCAUGUACUCCGCUUCACACGUAGAUCCCGCCACGACGCUCUGCUUGCAGCUGCACCAGCUUACUACUCCACCAUUCAACAUAUACACGUAUCCGGUUUGUGACUUAGAGUCAUCCAGAUCUGAGUCGAAGCUAGCGUCGACGUAACCUUUUACGACGAGCCCUUCGUCUCCUCCAUAAACGAGAAACAUGUCCUUUGUCCUUUUCAGGUACUUCAGGAUAUUCUUGACCGCUGUCCAGUGUUCCUUGCCGGGAUUACUUUGGUAUCUUGCUACCAAACUUACGGCAAGGUUUACAUCGGGUCUGGUACACAGCAUGGCAUACAUAAUAGAUCCUAUGGCUGAAGCAUAGGGGAUGACACUCAUCUCUUCUUUAUCUUUUGCCGUGGUCGGUGACUGAGCUGAGCUCAGUCUCAUACCUUGUAACAUAGGCAAUAACCCCUUCUUGGACUGAUCCAUUCUGAAUCUCUUCAAAAUCUUAUCAAGGUAUGUGCUUUGUGAAAGACCUAUGAGGCGUCUCGAUCUAUCUCUAUAGAUCUUGAUGCCUAAUAUAUAAGCAGCUUCUCCAAGGUCCUUCAUUGAAAAACACUUAUUCAAGUAGGCCUUAAUGCUGUCCAGAAAUUCUAUAUUAUUUCCCAUCAGGAGUAUGUCAUCUACAUAUAAUAUGAGAAAUGCUACAGAGCUCCCACUCACUUUCUUGUAAACGCAGGCUUCUCCAUAAGUCUGCAUAAACCCAAACGCUUUGAUCAUCUCAUCAAAGCGAAUGUUCCAACUCCGAGAUGCUUGCACCAGUCCAUAAAUGGAUCGCUGGAGCUUGCAUACUUUGUUAGCGUUCCGAGGAUCGACAAAACCUUCCGGCUGCAUCAUAUACAGUUCUUCCUUAAGAUGCCCGUUAAGGAAUGCUGUUUUGACGUCCAUCUGCCAUAUCUCAUAAUCAUAGUAUGCGGCAAUUGCUAACAUGAUUCGGACGGACUUUAGCUUCGCUACGGGAGAGAAUGUCUCGUCGUAGUCAAUCCCUUGAACCUGUCGAUAACCCUUAGCGACAAGUCGAGCUUUAUAGAUGGUAACAUUACCAUCCGCGUCCGUCUUCUUCUUAAAUAUCCAUUUGUUUUCUAUCGCUCGCCGAUCAUCGGGCAAGUCUGUCAAAGUCCAUACUUUGUUUUCAUACAUGGAUUCUAUCUCGGAUUUCAUGGCUUCAAGCCAUUUGUUGGAAUCCGGGCCCGCCAUUGCUUCUUCAUAGUUCGAAGGUUCAUUGUUGUCUAACAACAUGAUUUCUAGGACAGGGUUGCCGUACCACUCUGGUGCGGAACGUGUCCUUGUGGACCUACGAAGUUCAGCAGUAACUUGAUCCGAAGUACCUUGAUCAUUAUCAUGGUUUUCCUCUUCAGUUGGUGUGGGCAUCACAGGAACGGUUUCCUGUGCUGCGUCACUAUCCCGCUCAAGAGGUAGUACUUCAUCGAGUUCUACUUUCCUCCCACUUACUUCUUUCGAGAGAAACUCUUUUUCCAGAAAGCAUCCGUUCUUGGCAACAAAGAUCUUGCCUUCGGAUCUUAAGUAGAAGGUAUACCCUACAGUUUCCUUAGGGUAUCCUAUGAAUACGCAUUUUUCCGACUUGGGUUCGAGCUUUUCAGGUUGAAGUUUCUUGACAUAAGCUUCGCAUCCCCAAACUUUUAGAAACGACAGCUUAGGUUUCUUUCCAAACCAUAAUUCAUACAGUGUCGUCUCAACGGAUUUAGAUGGUGCCCUAUUUAAAGUGAAUGUAGCUGUCUCUAGAGCGUAUCCCCAAAAUGAUAGCGGUAAAUCGGUAAGAGACAUCAUAGACCGCACCAUAUCCAAUAGAGUGCGAUUACGACGUUCGGACACACCGUUUCGCUGAGGUGUUCCAGGCGGCGUGAGCUGUGAAACGAUUCCACAUUUCUUUAAGUGUGUACCAAAUUCGUGACUUAAGUAUUCUCCUCCACGAUCUGAUCGUAAGAAUUUUAUCUUUCGGUCACGUUGAUUCUCCACCUCAUUCUGAAAUUCCUUGAACUUUUCAAAGGUCUCAGACUUGUGUUUCAUUAAGUAGACAUACCCAUAUCUACUCAAGUCAUCUGUGAGAGUGAGAACAUAACGAUAUCCUCCGCGAGCCUCAACGCUCAUUGGACCGCACACAUCGGUAUGUAUGAUUUCCAACAAGUUGGUUGCUCGCUCCAUUGUUCCGGAGAACGGAGUCUUGGUCAUUUUGCCCAAGAGGCAUGGUUCGCACGUUUCAAACGAUUCAUAAUCAAGAGACUCUAAAAGUCCAUCGGCAUGGAGCUUCUUCAUGCGCUUGACACCAAUGUGACCAAGGCGGCAGUGCCACAAGUAUGUGGGACUAUCGUUAUCAAUUUUAAAUCUUUUGGCAUCUACACUAUGAACAUGUGUAAUAUUACGCUCGAGAUUCAUUAAGAAUAAACCAUUGACCAUCGGAGCAUGACCAUAAAACAUAUCUCUCAUAUAAAUCGAACAACCAUUAUUCUCAGACUUAAAUGAGUAGCCAUCUCGUAUUAAACGAGAUCCAGAUACAAUGUUCAUGCUCAAACUUGGCACUAAAUAACAAUUAUUAAGGUUCAAAACUAAUCCCGUAGGUAAAUGUAGAGGCAGCGUGCCGACGGCGAUCACAUCGACUCUGGAACCAUUCCCGACGCGCAUCGUCACCUCGUCCUUCGCCAGUCUCCGUUUAUUCCGCAGCUCCUGCUGUGAGUUACAAAUAUGAGCAACGGCACCGGUAUCAAAUACCCAGGAGUUACUACGAGUACUGGUAAGGUACACAUCAAUUACAUGUAUAUCAAAUAUACCUUUGGUGUUGCCGGCCUUCUUAUCCGCUAAGUAUUUGGGGCAGUUCCGCUUCCAGUGACCCUUCCCCUUGCAAUAAAAGCACUCAGUCUCAGGCUUGGGUCCAUUCUUUGACUUCUUCCCGGCAACUGGCUUACCGGGCGCGGCAACAUCCUUGCCGUCCUUCUUGAAGUUCUUCUAGCCCUUGCCCUUCUUGAACUUAGUGGUCUUAUUGAUCAUCAACACUUGAUGUUCUUUCUUGAUUUCAGCCUCUGCUGACUUCAGCAUAGAAAACACUUCAUGAAUGGUCUUUUCCAUCCCCUGCAUGUUGUAGUUCAUCACAAAGCUCUUGUAGCUUGGUGGGAGCGACUGGAGGAUUCUGUCAAUGACCGCCUCAUCAGGGAGGUUAAUAUUCAGCUGGGUCAUACGGUUGUGCAACCCAGACAUCUUGAGUAUGUGCUCACUGACAGAACUAUUUUCCUCCAUCUUACAACUGUAGAACUUGUCGGAGACGUCAUAUCUCUCGACCCGGGCAUGAGCUUGGAAAAGUAGUUUUAGCUCUUCGAACAUCUCAUAUGCUCCGUGAUGCUCAAAACGCUUUUGGAGCCCCGGUUCUAAGCUGUAAAGUAUGCCGCACUGAACGAGGGAGUAAUCAUCAGCACGAGUUUGCCAAGAAUUCAUAAUGUCUUGGUUCUCUGGGACGGGAGCGUCACCUAGCGGUCCUUCUAGGACAUAUUGUUUCCUGGCAGCUAUGAGGAUGAUCCUCAGGUUCCGGACCCAGUCCGUAUAGUUGCUGCCAUCAUCUUUCAGCUUGGUUUUCUCUAGGAACGCAUUGAAGUUCAUGUUGACAUGAGCGUUGGCCAUUUGAUCUACAAGACAUAUUUGCAAAGGUUUUUAGACUAAGUUCAUGAUAAUUAAGUUCUAAUCAAAUUAUGAACUCCCACUCAGAUUAGACAUCCCUCUAGUCAUCUAAGUGUUACACGAUUCGAGUCGACUAGCCCGUGUCCGAUCAUCACGUGAGACGGACUAGUCAUCGUCGGUGAACAUCUUCAUGUUGAUCGUAUCUUCCAUACGACUCGUGUUCGACCUUUCGGUCUCCGUGUUCCGAGGCCAUGUCUGCACAUGCUAGGCUCGUCAAGUUAACCCUAAGUGUUUUCGCUGUGUAAAACUAUCUUACACCCGUUGUAUGUGAACGUAAGAAUCCAUCACACCCGAUCAUCACGUGGUGCUUAGAAGCGACGAACUGUAGCAACAGUGCACAAUUAGGGGAGAACACUUCUUGAAAUUUUUGUAAGGGAUCAUCUUAUUUACUAACGUCGUCCUAAGUAAACAAGAUGCAUAAACAUAAUAAACAUCACAUGCAAUUAUAUAGUUGUGACAUGAUAUGGCCAAUAUCAUAUAGCUCCAUUGAUCUCCAUCUUCGAGGCUCCAUGAUCAUCUUGUCACCGGCUUGACACCAUGAUCUCCAUCAUCAUGAUCUCCAUCAUCGUGUCUUCAUGAAGUUGUCACGCCAACGACUACUUCUACUUCUAUGACUAACGCGUUUAGCAAUAAAGUAAAGUAAGUUACAUGGCGUUCUUCAAUGACACGCAGGUCAUACAAAAAAUAAAGACAACUCCUAUGGCUCCUGCCGGUUGUCAUACUCAUCGACAUGCAAGUCGUGAAUCCUAUUACAAAGAACAUGAUCUCAUACAUCACAAUUCAUCAUUCAUCACAACUUCUGGCCAUAUCACAUCACAUGAUCAAUCGCUGCAAAAACAAGUUAGACGUCCUCUAAUUGUUGUUGCAUCUUUUACGUGGCUGCAAUUGGGUUCUAGCAAGAACAUUUUCUUACCUACGAAUAACCACAACGUGAUUUUGUCAACUUCUAUUUACCCUUCAUAAGGACCCUUUUCAUCGAAUCCGCUCCAACUAAAGUGGGAGAGACAGACACCCGCCAGCCACCUUAUGCAACUAGUGCAUGUNNNNNNNNNNGGAGGAGGAGAGGUGUUGGGGAGGGGAGGGGCUGCGCCUUGGAUUGUGGUGCUGCAGCCCUCCCCUCACCCCUCUAUUUAUAGGAGGAAGGGGCAAGGGGGGCCGGCCCUCUAGGGAAAACCCUAGGGGGGCGGCGGCCAAGGGAGGGAGGCUUGCCCCCAAGCUAGGGGGGCGCCCCCUUUAGGGUUUCCCCCUCCCAAGCCCUAGCCGCAUGGGCCAUAGGUGGGGAGGCGCGCCCAGCCCACUAGGGGCUCGCUCCCUCUCCCACGCAGCCCAUGUGGCCCCCCGGGAGGGGUGGCCCCUCCCGGUGGACCCCCGGAAACCUUCCGGUGGCCCCGGUACAAUACCGGAAUGCCCCCGAAACUUUCCGGUGUCCGUUUAACCACUUUCCAUAUAUAAAUCUUUACCUCCGGACUAUUUCGGAACUCCUCGUGACGUCCGGGAUCUCAUCCGGGACUCCGAACAACAUUCGGUAAUCACAUACAAGUCUUCCUAAUAACCCUAGCGUCACCGAACCUUAAGUGUGUAGACCCUACGGGUUCGGGAGACACGCAGACAUGACCGAGACGACUCUCGGGCAAUAACCAACAGCGGGGUCUGGAUACCCUUGUUGGCUCCCACAUGCUCCUCGAUGAUUUCAUCGGUUGAACCACGAUGUCGAGGAUUCGAUCAAACCCCAUAUACAAUUCCCUUUGUCAGACGGUAUGUUACUUGCCCGAGACUCGAUCGUCGGUAUCCCAAUACCUCGUUCAGUCUCGUUACCGGCAAGUCACUUUACUCGUACCGUAAUGCAUGAUCUCGUGACCAGACACUUGGCCACCUUGAGCUCAUUAUGAUGAUGCACUACCGAGUGGGCCCAGUGAUACCUCUCCGAAAACACGGAGUGACAAAUCCCAGUCUCGAUCCAUGUCAACCCAAUAGACACUUUCGGAGAUACCUGUAGUGCACCUUUAUAGUCACCCAGUUACGUUGUGACGUUUGAUACACCCAAAGCACUCCUACGGUAUCCAGGAGUUACAUGAUCUCAUGGUCGAAGGAAGAGAUACUUGACAUUGGCAAAGCUCUAGCAAACGAACUACACGAUCUUUGUGCUAUGCUUAGGAUUGGGUCUUGUCCAUCACAUCAUUCUCCUAAUGAUGUGAUCCCGUUAUCAACGACAUCCAAUGUCCAUAGCCAGGAAACCAUGACUAUCUGUUGAUCACAACGAGCUAGUCAACUAGAGGCUCACUAGGGACAUAUUGUGGUCUUUGUAUUCACACGUGUAUUACGAUUUCCGGAUAAUACAGUUAUAGCAUGAAUAAAAGACAAUUAUCAUGAACAUAGAAAUAUAAUAAUACUUUUAUUAUUGCCUCUAGGGCAUAUUUCCAACAGUCUCCCACUUGCACUAGAGUCACCAAUCUAGUUACAUUGUGAUGAAUCGAACACCCAUAGAGUUCUGGUGUUGAUCAUGUUUUGCUCGCGAGAGAGGUUUAGUCAAUGGAUCUGCGACAUUCAGAUCCGUAUGUACUUUGCAAAUUUCUAUGUCUCCAUCUUGAACAUUUUCACGGAUGGAGUUGAAACGAUGCUUGAUGUGCCUGGUCUUCUUGUGAAACCUGGGCUCCUUGGCAAGGGCAAUAGCUCCAGUGUUGUCACAGAAGAGUUUGAUUGGCCCCGACGCAUUGGGUAUGACUCCUAGGUCGGUGAUGAACUCCUUCACCCAAAUCGCUUCAUGCGCUGCCUCCGAGGCUGCCAUGUACUCCGCUUCACACGUAGAUCCCGCCACGACGCUCUGCUUGCAGCUGCACCAGCUUACUGCUCCACCAUUCAACAUAUACACGUAUCCGGUUUGUGACUUAGAGUCAUCCGGAUCUGAGUCGAAGCUAGCGUCGACGUAACCCUUUACAACAAGCUCUUCGUCUCCUCCAUAAACGAGAAACAUGUCCUUUGUCCUUUUCAGGUACUUCAGGAUAUUCUUGACUGCUGUCCAGUGUUCCUUGCCGGGAUUACUUUGGUAUCUAGCUACCAAACUCACGGCAAGGUUUACAUCAGGUCUGGUACACAGCAUGGCAUACAUAAUAGAUCCUAUGGCUGAAGCAUAGGGGAUGACACUCAUCUCUUCUUUAUCUUUUGCCGUGGUCGGUGACUGAGCCGAGCUCAAUCUCACACCUUGUAACAUAGGCAAGAACCCCUUCUUGGACUGAUCCAUUUUGAACCUCUUCAAAAUCUUAUCAAGGUAUGUGCUUUGUGAAAGACCUAUGAGGCGUCUCGAUCUAUCUCUAUAGAUCUUGAUGCCUAAUAUGUAAGCAGCUUCUCCAAGGUCCUUCAUUGAAAAACACUUAUUCAAGUAGGCCUUAAUGCUGUCCGGAAAUUCUAUAUUAUUUCCCAUCAAGAGUAUGUCAUCUACAUAUAAUAUGAGAAAUGCUACAGAGCUCCCACUCACUUUCUUGUAAACACAGGCUUCUCCAUAAGUCUGCAUAAACCCAAACGCUUUGAUCAUCUCAUCAAAGCGAAUAUUCCAACUCCGAGAUGCUUGCACCAGCCCAUAAAUGGAUCGCUGGAGCUUGCAUACUUUGUUAGCGUUCUUAGGAUCGACAAAACCUUCCGGCUGCAUCAUAUACAGUUCUUCCUUAAGAUGCCCGUUAAGGAAUGCUGUUUUGACGUCCAUCUGCCAUAUCUCAUAAUCAUAGUAUGCGGCAAUUGCUAACAUGAUUCGGACGGACUUUAGCUUCGCUACGGGAGAGAAUGUCUCGUCGUAGUCAAUCCCUUGAACCUGUCGAUAACCCUUAGCGACAAGUCGAGCUUUAUAGAUGGUAACAUUACCAUCCGCGUCCGUCUUCUUCUUAAAGAUCCAUUUGUUUUCUAUCGCUCGCCGAUCAUCGGGCAAGUCUGUCAAAGUCCAUACUUUGUUUUCAUACAUGGAUUCUAUCUCGGAUUUCAUGGCUUCAAGCCAUUUGUUGGAAUCCGGGCCCGCCAUUGCUUCUUCAUAGUUUGAAGGUUCAUUGUUGUCUAACAACAUGAUUUCCAGGACAGGGUUGCCAUACCACUCUGGUGCAGAACGUGUGCUUGUGGACCUACGAAGUUCAGCAGUAACUUGAUCCGAAGUACCUUGAUCAUUAUCAUGGUUUUCCUCUUCAGUUGGUGUGGGCAUCACAGGAACGGUUUCCUGUGCUGCGUCACUAUCCCGCUCAAGAGGUAGUACUUCAUCGAGUUCUACUUUCCUCCCACUUACUUCUUUCGAGAGAAACUCUUUUUCUAGAAAGCAUCCGUUCUUGGCAACAAAGAUCUUGCCUUUGGAUCUUAAGUAGAAGGUAUACCCUACAGUUUCCUUAGGGUAUCCUAUGAACACGCAUUUUUCCGACUUGGGUUCGAGCUUUUCAGGUUGAAGUUUCUUGACAUAAGCUUCGCAUCCCCAAACUUUUAGAAACGACAGCUUAGGUUUCUUUCCAAACCAUAAUUCAUACGGUGUCGUCUCAACGGAUUUAGACGGUGCCCUAUUUAAAGUGAAUGUAGCUGUCUCUAGAGCGUAUCCCCAAAAUGAUAGCGGUAAAUCGGUAAGAGACAUCAUAGACCGCACCAUAUCCAAUAGAGUGCGAUUACGACGUUCGGACACACCGUUUCGCUGAGGUGUUCCAGGCGGCGUGAGCUGUGAAACGAUUCCACAUUUCUUUAAGUGUGUACCAAAUUCGUGACUUAAGUAUUCUCCUCCGUGAUCUGAUCGCAAGAAUUUUAUCUUUCGGUCACGUUGAUUCUCCACCUCAUUCUGAAAUUCCUUGAACUUUUCAAAGGUCUCAGACUUGUGUUUCAUUAAGUAGACAUACCCAUAUCUACUCAAGUCAUCUGUGAGAGUGAGAACAUAACGAUAUCCUCCGCGAGCCUCAACGCUCAUUGGACCGCACACAUCGGUAUGUAUGAUUUCCAACAAGUUGGUUGCUCGCUCCAUUGUUCCGGAGAACGGAGUCUUGGUCAUUUUGCCCAAGAGGCAUGGUUCGCACGUGUCAAACGAUUCAUAAUCAAGAGACUCUAAAAGUCCAUCGGCAUGGAGCUUCUUCAUGCGCUUGACACCAAUGUGACCAAGGCGGCAGUGCGACAAGUAUGUGGGACUAUCGUUAUCAACUUUAAAUCUUUUGGCAUCUACACUAUGAACAUGUGUAAUAUUACGCUCGAGAUUCAUUAAGAAUAAACCAUUGACCAUCGGAGCAUGACCAUAAAACAUAUCUCUCAUAUAAAUCGAACAACCAUUAUUCUCAGACUUAAAUGAGUAGCUAUCUCGUAUUAAACGAGAUCCUGAUACAAUGUUCAUGCUCAAACUUGGCACUAAAUAACAAUUAUUGAGGUUCAAAACUAAUCCCGUAGGUAAAUGUAGAGGCAGCGUGCCGACGGCGAUCACAUCGACUCUGGAACCAUUCCCGACGCGCAUCGUCACCUCGUCCUUUGCCAGUCUCCGUUUAUUCCGCAACUCCUGCUGUGAGUUACAAAUAUGAGCAACGGCACCGGUAUCAAAUACCCAGGAGUUACUACGAUUACUGGUAAGGUACACAUCAAUCACAUGUAUAUCAAAUAUACCUUUGGUGUUGCCGGCCUUCUUAUCCGCUAAGUAUUUGGGGCAGUUCCGCUUCCAGUGACCCUUCCCCUUGCAAUAAAAGCACUCAGUCUCAGGCUUGGGUCCAUUCUUUGACUUCUUCCCGGUAACUGGCUUACCAGGCGCGGCAACAUCUUUGCCGUCCUUCUUGAAGUUCUUCUUACCCUUGCCCUUCUUGAACUUAGUGGUCUUAUUGACCAUCAACACUUGAUGUUCUUUCUUGAUUUCAGCCUCUACUGACUUCAGCAUCGAGAACACUUCAGGAAUGGUCUUUGCCAUUCCCUGCAUGUUGUAGUUCAUCACAAAGCUCUUGUAGCUUGGUGGGAGCGACUGGAGGAUUCUGUCAAUGACCGCCUCAUCUGGGAGGUUAAUGUUCAGCUGGGUCAUACGGUUGUGCAACCCAGACAUCUUCAGGAUGUGCUCACUGACAGAACUGUUCUCCUCCAUCUUACAACUGUAGAACUUGUCGGAGACAUCAUAUCUCUCGACCCGGGCAUGAGCUUGAAAAACUAGUUUCAGCUCUUCGAACAUCUCAUAUGCUCCGUGAUGCUCAAAACGCUUUUGGAGCCCCGGUUCUAAGCUGUAAAGCAUGCCGCACUGAACGAGGGAGUAAUCAUCAGCGUGAGACUGCCAAGCAUUCAUAAUGUCUUGGUUCUCUGGGACGGGAGCGUCACCUAGCGGUCCUUCUAGGACAUAUUGUUUCCUGGCAGCUAUGAGGAUGAUCCUCAGGUUCCGGACCUAGUCCGUAUAGUUGCUGCCAUCAUCUUUCAGCUUGGUUUUCUCUAGGAACGCGUUGAAGUUCAUGUUGACAUUAGCGUUGGCCAUUGAUCUACAAGACAUAUUUGCAAAGGUUUUAGACUAAGUUCAUGAUAAUAAAGUUCUAAUCAAAUUAUGAACUCCCACUUAGAUUAGACAUCCCUUUAGUCAUCUAAGUGUUACACGAUCCGAGUCGACUAGCCCGUGUCCGAUCAUCACGUGAGACGGACUAGUCAUCGUCGGUGAACAUUUUCAUGUUGAUCGUAUCUUCCAUACGACUCGUGUUCGACCUUUCGGUCUCCGUGUUCCGAGGCCAUGUCUGCACAUGCUAGGCUCGUCAAGUUAACCCUAAGUGUUUUCGCUGUGUAAAGCUGUCUUACACCCGUUGUAUGUGAACGUAAGAAUCCAUCACACCCGAUCAUCACGUGGUGCUUAGAAACGACGAACUAUAGCAACGGUGCACAGUUAGGGGAUAACACUUCUUGAAAUUUUAUAAGGGAUCAUCUUAUUUACUACCGUCGUCCUAAGUAAACAAGAUGCAUAAUACAUAAUAAACAUCACAUGCAAUUAUAUAGUUGUGACAUGAUAUGGCCAAUAUCAUAUAGCUCCAUUGAUCUUCAUCUUCGGGGCUCCAUGAUCAUCUUGUCACCGGCUUGACACCAUGAUCUCCAUCAUCAUGAUCUCCAUCAUCGUAUCUUCAUGAAGUUGUCACGCCAACGACUACUUCUACUUCUAUGACUAACGUUUAGCAAUAAAGUAAAGUAGUUUACAUGACGUUAUUCAAUGACACGCAGGUCAUACAAAAAAUAAUGACAACUCCUAUGGCUCCUGCCGGUUGUCAUACUCAUCGACAUGCAAGUCGUGAAUCCUAUUACAAAGAACAUGAUCUCAUACAUCACAAUUCAUCAUUCAUCACAACUUCUGGCCAUAUCACAUCACAUGAUCAAUCGCUGCAAAAACAAGUUAGACGUCCUCUAAUUGUUGUUGCAUCUUUUACGUGGCUGCAAUUGGGUUCUAGCAAGAACGUUUUCUUACCUACGAAUCACCACAACGUGAUUUUGUCAACUUCUAUUUACCCUUCAUAAGGGCCCUAUUCAUCGAUUCCGCUCCAACUAAGGUGGGAGAGACAGACACCCGCCAGCCACCUUAUGCAACUUGUGCAUGUCAGUCGGCGGAACCGGUCUCACGUAAGUGUACAUGUAAGGUUGGUCCGGGCCGCUUCAUCCCACAAUACCGUUGAGCAAGAAAAGACUAGUAGAGGCAAGUAAGAUGACAAAAUCCACGCCCACAACAAAGUUGUGUUCUACUCGUGCAAAGAGAACUACGCAUAGACCUAGCUCAUGAUGCCACUGUUGGGGAACGUUGCAGAAAAUUAAAAUUUUUCCUACGGUUUCACCAAGAUCCAUCUAUGAGUUCAUCUAAGCAACGAGUCUAGGGAGAGAGUUUGCAUCUACAUACCACUUGUAGAUCGCGUGCGGAAGCUUGCAAGGUGAUGAUGUAGUCGUACUCGACGUGAUCCAAAUCACCGAUGACCAGCGCCGAACGGAUGGCACCUCCGCGUUCAACACACGUACGGGACGGGAGACGUCUCCUCCUUCUUGAUCCAGCAAGGGGGAAGGAGAGGUUGAUGAAGAUCCAGCAGCACGACAGCGUGGUGGUGGAUGCAGGGCGUCACAGCAGCAGGGCUUCGUCGAGACUACAAGGGAGAGACGUAACGGGGGGAGGUGGAGGCGCCAGGGGCUGGUGUAUGAAGUCCCUCCUCUCCCCCACUAUAUAUAGGGGUGCCAGGGGGGCGCCGGCCCUAGUAGAUGAGAUCUACUAGGGGGGGGCGGCGGCCUAGGGGAGGUUUCCCUCCCCCCCCCAAGGCACCUAGGGGUGCCUUCCACCACUAGGACUCCUCCUAGGGGGAAACCCUAGGCGCAUGGGCCUAUAGGGGCUGGUGCCCUUGGCCCAUGAUGGCCAAGGCGCACCCCCUACAGCCCAUGUGGCCCCCGGGAUAGGUGGCCCCACCCGGUGGACCCCCGGGACCCUUCCGGUGGUCCCGGUACAAUACCGAUAACCCCGAAACUUGUCCCGAUGCCCGAAAUAGCACUUCCUAUAUAUAAUUCUUUACCUCCGGACCAUUCCAGAACUCCUCAUGACGUCCGGGAUCUCAUCCGGGACUCCGAACAACAUUCGGGUUUCUGCAUAUCCAUAUCUUCAUAACCCUAGCGUCACUGAACCUUAAGUGUGUAGACCCUACGGGUUCGGGAGACAUGCAGACAUGACCGAGACGCUCUCAGUCAAUAACCAUCAGCGGGAUCUGGAUACCCAUGAUGGCUCCCACAUUCUCCUCGAUGUUGUCAUCGGAUGAACCACUAUGUCGAGGAUUCGAUCAAACCCUGUAUGCAAUUCCCUUUGUCAAUCGGCACGUUACUUGCCCGAGACUCGAUCGUCGGUAUCCCAAUACCUUGUUCAGUCUCGUUACCGGCAAGUCACUUUACUCGUACCGUAAUGCAUGAUCCCGUGUCCAACACCUUGGUCACAUUGAGCUCAUUAUGAUGAUGCAUUACCGAGUGGGCCCAGAGAUACCUCUCCGUCAUACGGAGUGACAAAUCCCAGUCUCGAUCCGUGUCAACCCAACAGCUACUCUCAGAGAUACCUGUAAUGCACCUUUAUAGUCACCCAGUUACGUUGUGACGUUUGAUACACCCAAGGCACUUCUACGGUAUCCGGGAGUUACACGAUCUCAUGGUCUAAGGAAGAGAUACUUGACAUUGACAAAGCUCUAGCAAUACGAACUACACGAUCUUUUAUGCUAUGCUUAGGAUUGGGUCUUGUCCAUCACAUCAUUCUCCUAAUGAUGUGAUCCCGUUAUCAACGACAUCCAAUGUCCAUAGUCAGGAAACCAUGACUAUCUGUUGAUCACAACAAGCUGGUCAACUAGAGGCUUACCAGGGACAUAGUGUGGUCUAAGUAUUCACACGUGUAUUACGAUUUCCGGAUAAUACAGUUAUAGCAUGAAUAAAAGACAAUUAUCAUGAACAAUGAAAUAUAAUAAUACUUUUAUUAUUGCCUCUAGGGCAUAUUUCCAACAAAUUCUCCCCUAGCUUCUUUAGGAAAAUUGAUCCCUAUAGUACUUUUGACUGGAAUUGGAUACCUUCUAUUGGCAAGGCUGGGGGCUUACUUUGUGGGGUCAAGAGGGACAAAUUGGAGAUUGUCUCUUGGUCCCUAGGAAAAUUUAUCCUCCAAGUUAUUAUUUUUUGUGUUGCUAAACAAUGUGUUUGGGCCCUUCUAAAUGUCUAUGGUGCGGCUCAUGAUGAGCAGAAGGAAGAGUUUCUUGUGGAGUUGGCUAGUUUUUGUAGUCAUUUAUCCAUACCUUACAUUGUGGGUGGUGAUUUCAACAUCCUCAGACACUGUGGAGAGAAAAACAAAAAAAAUGAUGACCUCCCAGUAUGUUGACAGAUUUAAUGCCAUCAUUAACACUAUGUGUCUCCGCGAGAUUUUUGUGGAGGGGGGGAUGUUCACAUGGUCCAAUAAUCAAGCUCACCCCACAUUGGAAAAAUUGGACAAAAUUCUCAUGAGCUAUGACUGGGAAGAUCUAUUCCCCUUGGUUACGGCCAGGAAACUGGUUAGAGAUGUAUCUGACCAUAAUCCCCUCCUUCAUGUCCACUAAUAGCCUUAAACACCAGCCACCUUAGCCUAGGGAAUUUAGGUUUGAGAUGAGCUGGAUGGCUAAUGAGGAAUUCCUCCCUUUAGUUAAUAAAAUUUGGCAGAGGCCAGUUAAGUCUUCAGACCCUAUUGAUGUCCUCAAUAUCAAGCUUAAACGUUUUAAAAACUUUUUUAAGGGCCGGGGCUCGGAUAAGUUCGAACAUGUUAAGAAAAGAAAGAAGGGGAUCAAGGAUGAGCUUGCUUUCAUAGAGUCUAUGGAAGAACAAGGCCCUCUCGACCCUGAUAUCCUAGAAAAAAGAGCUUCCCUUAGUGGAGAGCUACAACAGCUCAUGGUUAAUGAGGAGCUAUACUGGCUCCAACAAUCCCACGAGACAUGGCCGUUGAAAGGAGACCAAAACACUGCUUUCUACCAUAGGAUUGCCAAUGGAAAAAAGCGGAAAAAUACCAUUCACUCCUUCUCUUGUGGUGAUACUACUAUUGAGGGGACUGAUAACUUACUCAAACACGCCACAGACUUUUAUAAGGAGCUUUUUGGCCCGGCCCCAGGGAAUCUUUUUCAUCUAGAUCCUGAUACCUGGGGGGAGAAUGAAAAGCUUACGGCCGAGGAUAAUGAAUUCCUGACCAGGCCAUUUAGUGAGGAAGAAGUGAAAAAGGCCCUUUUCUCUAUGGAUAGCAAUAGAGCUCCUGGGCCAGAUAACAUACCAGCGGAAUUUUACAUAUUCUGUUGGGACAUUGUUAAAGAGGAUACUAUGAACUUGUUUAGGGCCUUUCAUGGAGGAACUCUGGACGUGGAGAGACUGAAUUAUGGGACUAUUACCCUAAUUCCUAAAAUCAACGGGGCCAAAAAAAUUCAGGAGUUCCGACCUAUUUGUCUUUUGAGAUGCCCUUACAAACUUAUCACAAAAGUCUUGGACAAUAGGGUUGCGGUGUUUGCUGACAAACCUUUUAGUCGCCACCAAAAUGCCUUCAUCAAGAAACGGAACAUUAUGGAUGGAAUCUUGACCCUGCAUGAAAUUCUCCAUCACACUCAAGUCAAGAAAAAAAUGGGGAUUGUUUUGAAACUUGACUUUGAGAAGGCGUACGAUAAGGUUAAUUGGGAGUUUUUGCUUGAAUGUCAUAAAAUGAGGGGAUUCGAUCCCAAAUGGUGCGAGUGGGUGGAGAGAAUCCUCCACAAUGGCACAGUUAGUGUUAAAAUUACCAAUACCACGGGGCCUUACUUCCAGAGCCACAAAGGGGUUCGACAAGGGGAUCCAAUGUCUCCCUUCCUUUUCAAUCUUGCAGCUGAAUGUUUGACUAAAAUGAUUUUGAAUGCCCAGAAAAACAAUCUUUUUAGAGGGCUGGCUUCUGAUUUGGUUCCUAAUGGGGUGGCAGUGCUCCAGUACGCAGAUGACACGGUUAUCUGUAUCGAAGAUGAUAUUGACAAAGCCGUCAAUCUUAAACUUCUUCUUUACCUUUUCGAACUGAUGUCUGGUCUUAAGAUCAACUUCUUAAAAAGUGAGGUGCUGUGUGUGUGUCUGGGGGGGGGGGUGACUCGGUCCUCCAGAAAUAUGCUGAUCUUUUUGGUUGCCAGAUCGGUCACUUUCCUAUGAAAUACUUAGGAGUGCCAGUCAGCUACUCCUCUUUGAGAAACUCGGAUUGGGAGUUUAUAGCUAUUUGGUUUCUUAAAUGCUGUGAUUCAUGGAUUGGCAAUGAUGCCUCUUCCGGAGGGCGGCUGACCCUGUUGAAUUCCUCUCUUUCUAGCAUUGCCUACUAUUACAUGUCAAUGUUCCUCAAUAAAACUUUCAUCAAAAAAUUAGACAAAUACUGUCGCAAGUUUUUUUGGUAUGGAGGUAUGGCGAAGAAAAGCUACUACUUGGUCAAAUGGACCAGAGUGUGCAGAUCUAAGUGUAAAGGGGGUUUGGGUAUCAAAGAUCUCCACAAACAGAAUGUCUCUCUUCUGGUGAAAUGGUGGUGGAGGCUGGAUACAGUGAAUGGUUUGUGGCAAGAUGUUGUGAGGGCUAAAUACCUCAAGAAUUGCUCGGUUGCUACUGUUAAACCCAAGUUCAAUGACUCCCCAGUCUGGAAAUCACUUUUGAAAAUUAAGGAUGUUUACAUGGCCAGGAGGAAAGUGAUUAUUAAUUCUGGCAAUAUUGCUCGUCUGUGGUUUGAUCCUAUUGGGUCUCAUCCCCCACUUUGUGACUUAUAUCCAGACCUUUUCAGCAUUGCUAAUUAUCCGGAUGACACUAUUGUCCAGUAUAAGUCGAGGACUGGUAGGGGCUUGUUCAGGCGCAGGUCGAAUGCCGACCUGACUUGCCAGUUUGAGAGGCUACAAAGGGUUGUUGACACUGUCAAACCCUCUGACAAUUGUGACGGUUUUGAAUGGGGCUUUGGUCCUAAAGGUAGAUAUACCACCAAGUCAGUGUACGCCUUACUUGGAAAAGGACCUCGCUGGGUGCGACUAUAAAUGGAUCUGGAAAGCUAAACUGCCUGUUAAAAUCCAAAUUUUUUUGUGGCAACUAUUUCAAGAUGCUAUUCUUACCAGGGAUGUGAUGAGACGUCGAAACUGGGCUGGCAACCCACGGUGUUCCUUCUGCGAUUGCAGGGAAACUUAUCUGCACUUAUUUUUCAUUUGCCCUAUUGCGAGGGUAGUUUGGCGCACGGUGGGUGCGAUGCUUGGAACUGAUCUUUUCCCUAACAACUUAUGUCAAUUUUACUCUUGGUGUUAUGCUUUUCUUCCUCAUGGUGAGAGACACUUUACUGUGGGGCUAGCGGCUGUUUGCUGGGCCAUUUGGAACCGCAGAAAUCAGGCUACUUUUGAAUUCAAUAAGUUGUCGUCUCCUUUUGAGAUUGUCUUCAUGGCCUGCACACAUCUAUCUUACUGGGCAGGUCUGCUGAAAGGCGAGGAGCGAGCGGAGCUAGAGCAUGGCGCGGCGCUUCUGAAGAGGAAUGCUAAGGAGCUGAUGAGUCUCUGCACAACUGCAUACACGGGAACCACCCUGGGAUGAUCAAGGCGCUAUUUCUAAUGGGAGCUUCUUCUUCUGGAGUUGAUCGUGCUUCUUCGCGAAUCCCUUUAGUGUUUUGGCGUCAGUCUUACUAUCCUGAUACUCUGCCUCUGCGUAGGCUCUGUUGUUACUGUUAGACUUCUUUAUCUUUUGGUGUCGAGAGAACUUGGUGCUCCAGGGUUUUCGCCCCACAGUGGGCGUCUCAAUUGCGAGCGUCUACAGUGGGUUUCCCUGGCGUGCUUGAACUCGUUUUUUUCCUUUCCCUUUUUUCGCUCUCUUGGACAUGGCUGUGUUUCCGUUAUGUUCUAUAAUGGAAAGGGGAUUAGCCCGGUUCAAAAAAAAAAAAACAAGAGCACCACAUGACGGGAAGGUGAAGAUUCCGGAGGAAGCUCACAAGUCACAAGAAUGCCGAUUUGCAGAGGAGUUCACCGGAAUGGGACGACGAGUUGAGGGUGGAUGCCAGGACCACAUAACCAGCACGAAGGGGGAGCAUGGAUGCCGGGGCCACGGAGGAUGCAUAUUUGUUGUGAUCUUGUUGUGCUUGCUUGUUAUAUUUGAGAUCCGUCAACAUCAAAGACAGGGAGAGAAAGAGAGGCGAGGAAGAUAACAAGCGCCGUCAAAACCAUACUCCCCCAGGGCCAGGAGCGCUUGACCAACUCUCCCUCCCGUUCUCCAAAAGUUGACCGUUAUCUCACAAACUCCCUAGGACCGACCAGUCAAACACCUCGACUUGCUACCGCGGCCACAGCCACAGCCACUAGCACCUGCCAGCCUCGUCUCAACUCCCUCCCACCACCACAUGCCCUGACCUGGUCCAUCUUACGCCUGCCAGCAUGUCACUCUCUCCUCACUCGUGCCUCGCAACCCCAGAAUACUUCUCACCCCCAGAAUCUCAGCGCCGUCUCGUAUCGUAUAUAAAUAAACAUCCCCGAACGGCUAGCAUGACACACACAACCCUGAGGCUAGAGCGAUCAAGAAACGAGCCAGCCGCACGUACGAGGAGAUCGAGAAAACCGACCAAAGGCACCGCCACUGCACGCGCGCUCGCUCGAUCAAGCAAGCAAGCAAGGACUCAUGGACAACAAGAAUGGCGUCAAGGUCACCUACAUCGAGACGCAGUUCGUCACCUCCGACGCCGCGGGCUUCAAGUCCCUCGUGCAGCGCCUCACCGGCAAGCCAUCCGGUGCCGCCGCCGCGCCCGCGCACCAGCUCCACAGGCCGCGGCCCCGCCACGCCGACGGGAGGAGUGCUGCCACCACCGGACCGUCAGGCUAUCGCAUGCCCGCCACGGCAGGCCCCGUUAGCGCAGCGGCGAAUGACGCCGGCACCAGAUCGUCAAGCUAUCUCAUUCCCGCCACGGCAGGCCCGGUUGGUGUAGCGGCGAAUGACGCGCGGACGGCGACGGCCCAUGCCAACUCCGGCGCCGCGCAGUCGUCGUGCCUGGAUGAGCUGCACGGCCUCUGCGAUUACACAGAGCUUUUCACCGUCGUCGGCGCGAGCGAACAGCAGCGUCACGGCAGUUACAGUGGUUUCCCCUAUUGAAGUGCAAGUGUAAAUACAGAGCCUAGGGCUUUGUUUGGAAUGUCGUUUCAUCUCAAAUACACCUGUAGAAAAGAUACAGAUCUCCGCCCAUCCUUUUGAUUCCGGCUGAAAAUCUACUGGUGGCCGGUAAGAUACACGCGUAAACUAAAUACGUCUGUAUUUGAUUACACCGCAUCCAAGCGCAGCCUAGGUGUUAAAAUUCAGUCUUUGUAACCAUAGACAGCAGCAUUUGUAAGAGAGAUGGCAGAGCAAGCAUUUGUGUAUGUAAAGUUGUAAUCAUUCUGGGAAUCCACAAGAUAUAUAUAUAUAUUCAACGUCCGGGGCCUGUUUUUACUCGUAAAUUCGAUCUUGCAUGCGUGCUAGAGGAGGCACAAGAUAUACUCCCUCCGUUCGUAAAUAUAAGUCUUUUUAGAGAUUCUAACAAGCGACUACAUACGGAGCAAAAUGGAUGAAUCUACAUUUUAAAAUAUGUCUACAUACAUCCGUAUGUUGUAGUCUAUUUGAAACCUCUAAAAAGACUUAUAUUUAGGAACGGAGGGAGUAUUCAGCAUUUGCCUGGGAGGAUUUUCCUUUUUCUCAAGACAGCCGAGUUUUGCGCUCUUUAAUUUGGACCGGUGACAGAGAGGUAAUGCAUGAAACAUGCAUGAUUCGCUUGGCACUCACACUCUCUUAUUGCACCGCUAAUUUCUGCCCAUCUCUAAAAAGCUACAGCAGCGCAAACCAAAGCUGUGCUCUUAAGCAAGUUCUGCUACACUUAGAUUAAGAACCAACUAUAUAUUUUCAGUUGGUCGAACGCGUACUGUGAAAGCUGUCUUGGAACAGGGAAAUUCAAGAACAAAAGAUCAUACACAAGAAACAUAUAUUUCCACAUAAUAUUUGUAGGGUUGGACAGGGGCAUUUUUAAUCCAUAUACCAUGAUGGAAACAUUCUUUCUGUUUUGUGCAGUGCAACAACGGCAAAUGGUCCUAUGCAACAUUGACUUGUACCGGGCUUUGCCUAUCUACUCUACAGAUUCAAUGAGAAGUACAUGCUUGCAGCAGCUGCUGCAACAAGUAACACAUACAUCGGUACAGACAAAACUGGCUCAAUAUCUUCACCAAGUAUAACACACAGCGACACAUACUCUACCCAGUACAUACACCAUUGUCUACAGUUCUCAAACUAUACACAUAUUGGUAAGCCGGCCCCUGCCAUGCGGUGCUGACAUCUCCUUCCUUUUGUUUUGCAGAAAAGAAGGAUCUCGAGUACGAGUACCAUUCAAGCCGGGUGAUGCGAGAAGUAGGUGCAGAGCAUCACCUCCUCUUCUUUUACUUUCACUUCUUUCCUGUUGAGGUAAGGGGGUUGUCAAAUUCCUGAAUUCUGCGGUUGCUUAGACCCAUCUGAAAGCAUGAAAAAGGAGAAGAUUGCAGUCUGCGACGACCUAGCUAACAAAAAAAAACAUGUGUUUUUCGAGGAAAAGGAGAGAUGCAAGCACCGAUAUGUUAGACGUUAACCCCCUUGUUGUUCUUGUGCAAAUUAUGCACUAGGGCGUUAGCCAUAUUUCAUAACUGGGCAUCAUUCUCCGGACCCAACUGCAGCGUCAGACUGAACUCUUAAGUGUUCGGUGCUGUUUUCUAAGUUCUGCAUCCCUAAAUGACUAGUAGUUCUUGCUGCCUUGUGGCACCUGAUCAAAUUUCUCUAGAUGGGCUCGUACUGCGAAAAUUCUGAAGCAUGUUUGCUGCUUCGUAGUGGGUGGGUGAGGGUCUAUGGCUAUAGAAGCUCUUCCCAUAUUUUUCACGCUUGGUUAGUUUCGAUUCAUGAAGUCUUCGUUUGUGAAAUAAGUGUCUCUGUUCUACUGAGCAAAAUUGAUCUACCAUUCUAGCAACAAGCCUACAACAUAAUAUCUCUUAAAACACGAAAAUGGGUUCACAGAACGGAAACAAGCAAAGAAAAUAUAGACAUAUACUGCAAGAAGCAUACCAUGGUGGGUGGAUGUGAAUAAUGUUUCCUUCUACAAGAUCCACAUUGUCACAUAUUUUGGGACUGAAGAUAAUGGUCCUCUUACUACUGCUGCCAUCCAUGUCACAAUCUGUCAAGGGAAGCUGCAAAGAAACACAAAUACACUGAUAACACCACACUGGCACGAGACGCUUAGCAUGUUUGGUUUGUUAGAACUUAACCCCAGAAAGGAUAUGUUUUGGGAGGGCAUAACAACAUUAAAAGAUAGUUCUAAGGGUAGCACUGUAUUUUUAUCUUAAAUGUCUGGACAGUACAUGGUGGGCCAUUCAAAAAGAGUGGCCAAAUGCCACGUGGAAAAUUAUCUAACAUGCAUGACUUGCACAGCACAUACUCCUACAAUUACCAUUUAAUAGCAAGCAUGUACUACCUCUGUACACUAUAAUAUAAGACGUUUCUGCAUUCAAUUUGAACUGCAAAAACGUUUUACAUUAGUGUACAGAGGAGUACUUUUUAUGCGCAACAAUUAUUACUUUUCUUUGAAAAUAGUACUCCUUCCGUUCCAUAUUAACUGAUGCUCAAACUGAUGUAUCUAGCACUGAAAUACGUCUCCAUUUGAGUGACAGUUAAUAUGGGACGGAGGGAGUAUAAAAACAAUAUGUUAAUUUGCUGCAAGCAAUAAGUAAACGAAAGAACGGAAGAGCUUUUGAAAGAUAAAGAUGAAACACAGACGUUACUCUUUUCUUUCAACAGGCAGAGGCAGACUGUUAGUUUUCCUUCCAAGGACCUUGUCAAAAUUUGAACAGUAACUCCCUUUGAAUCACCUGGCAAUACGAAUAGUCACUGCAUCAUCAAUAUAUGAAUACACAUUGAUGAAGGUUAUUAUGAAUGUAUAUGUAGUACCACUACUAACUGCUUCAACUAGCAAAUCUAGCAUAACUAUACAAGUUCACGAUAGCAAAACUAAGGACUACCUAAAUAAUCUUGCGCUUUGUUAUACUGCCUCGAGAACUCAGCAUGCCUAUCUUUCUCCAUCUGCAUAAUCUGUUGCAUCCUUCCGUAAUAACCAGCUCUGCACGAGAAAUAGAAUAUUUAGAAUAGCAUAACGUUCAGCGUUAUUUCAACACGCAUUUGGUAAGGAAUUGUCAGGGUUACUAUACCCGGUUGAUCUCAUGGGGAGUGCGGUACCCUCCAUAUCUGUUGCAAUGAAAGCUUCUUGGAAUAGGUCAGACAUAGUUUUUCGGUUUCCCUUCACAUCUUUGUUCACCAUAGUCAAGUUGUUUCGAACAGUAUCCUGUUGCAGGAAUGAAGUAUCAUGACGAACAGUACAACUGAACAACUAUGAAUAACAGCAGUUAUAUUAAAACAUACUUCCGCUUCAUCCUCACUAGACGUUUCACCAAUAGCAUGCUCCGAGGGCUCUUCACUAUCAAGAUCCCUCUGACCUAGAAGUGCUGGUAUUUUCUUCCCUGAAGUCGGAACUUUUGGCUUCCCUUCCUUAGCUUUGGUUUGUUGAUGAAUCUGCAUUGAAAUGUUCAGAGACAAGCUAGCUGUUUUCUAAGAACUCCAAACAAUGAAGCAGCACAGAAAUACACACCGAAAAUGGUGUUCUAAGAGAAGAGACACUUCUAUCCUGUAGAUCUUCAAGAAGUUCAGCAACUGAAGUGUUUGCAAUCUUGGUUGGAUGGGCAAAAUCUGACGGCAAGUCUUCAGUGUCUUCAUCGAUAUUUUCCAACUGCUCAGCCAUCAAAGUUUCUACAGUUUUAGCUGGUCGCAUUCCUGACGAAACUUCUUGCUCCCCAGCAUACGAGUUUUCACUCUUUACGCCUGACACGAUAGAAUUGAAUCCACGUAUUGAGAAUUUGCGCUUGUUUUCACAUUUGCUCCCUGCACCAGUGGCAAAAAGGAGAGCGAGUCAUGUAUAAUAUGCACCCGAAAAAAUUACACAAGAAAACAUUUACAUGCCGAAGUCCUCCACUGCCUACAAGAAAUAUCAGAACCUACAUAAUAUGUAUUACAGGAGAUGCAGUUGCAGUGAUUACUUUUGCUUGUUCCAGCAGAUAGGAGCGAGACACUACGAGCAUGAGGAUCUUUAUGCACAUGGGCUAGCUCAUCAGCUUCUUCCCGAACUUCAUCCCAGAUGGUUGAUUCAUCGUGGCCCGCCAUUCUGGUAUCCUUCUCUCUCUUAUUUGUAGUAGCACAGGCCAGCGAGAGCCUUGUUGGUUGGACAUCCUGUUGAUAUACAAUAAAAGAAAAGCCACAUGUUCAACAAGCAUUUCAUAUGCUGCUACAUGCCGAGAUUUUCAAGCGAUGUCAGAUAAAUUUGCAUAAAAAGGCACAAUGAGCUGCAACAAUGUUUAUGAGAUUUUCAAGCUAUGUCAGAUAAAUUUGUACAGUUUGCGCAUCUGGUAGAGUGGUUCAGGGUCCAGACACAACACUAUGAAAUUCGGAACAGUUUCUUUGCACAUGAGCUGCAACAAUGUUUAUGGCAUUUAUUGGCCAAGGAAAUAAAGAACAUAUGAAAUACCAAAGCCAAUGUAGCUCAGCAUCAGGAGAGGCAGCACCUCAUCAGAUAUCGGAUCCUCAAGAGAAUCAGAGACGCGGUCCGGGUGCUGGUGAGAAUGAGGGGACGUGCAGUCGUACUCAUCAAAUCUUUCCAUAGCAAAUGCCCUGAAUCAACAGCACACAUAGGUGUUGUCAGGCAGCUAGCGAAGUCACAGCACAAUUGGUGAAAAGAGUGAAAUGCCCUGCCUGUCGCGGACGUGUGGCGCUGCCGGCUGGGGUGUCGGAGUGCCGGAUGCCCGACGUGUCGGUCAGUCUGCAAGUUGCGCCGACGCGCCCUCCUCCCCUCGAGGACCUCCACCCGCUCGCUCGCGGCGCCGNNNNNNNNNNNNNNNNNNNNNNNNNNNNNNNNNNNNNNNNNNNNNNNNNNNNNNNNNNNNNNNNNNNNNNNNNNNNNNNNNNNNNNNNNNNNNNNNNNNNNNNNNNNNNNNNNNNNNNNNNNNNNNNNNNNNNNNNNNNNNNNNNNNNNNNNNNNNNNNNNNNNNNNNNNNNNNNNNNNNNNNNNNNNNNNNNNNNNNNNNNNNNNNNNNNNNNNNNNNNNNNNNNNNNNNNNNNNNNNNNNNNNNNNNNNNNNNNNNNNNNNNNNNNNNNNNNNNNNNNNNNNNNNNNNNNNNNNNNNNNNNNNNNNNNNNNNNNNNNNNNNNNNNNNNNNNNNNNNNNNNNNNNNNNNNNNNNNNNNNNNNNNNNNNNNNNNNNNNNNNNNNNNNNNNNNNNNNNNNNNNNNNNNNNNNNNNNNNNNNNNNNNNNNNNNNNNNNNNNNNNNNNNNNNNNNNNNNNNNNNNNNNNNNNNNNNNNNNNNNNNNNNNNNNNNNNNNNNNNNNNNNNNNNNNNNNNNNNNNNNNNNNNNNNNNNNNNNNNNNNNNNNNNNNNUCAGCUGGCGGGCCGCGUGGCCGUGGCCUCGGCGACUCGAGAGGUCGCGCCCUCGCCUCGCGCUGCACGUAGCUCCUGAAGCCUUGCUCCUCAGCUCGCUGGCCGAUCUGACCGCCCUGCUCGUCGGCGGAGAGACGCCGCGGCCGCGCGCUGGAGCUGCCGAGCAGCAGGCCUCCAAGGUCAGGGUUCUGCUUUUGGGCCUUGCACCUGGGAGCACAUAGGCCAAAUGGGCCUCUGACUCGGCCUUGUGCGAGAGGAAUGGGCCCACGGUUUCUGAAUUAAUCGCUGCAUAUCUUUUUAUUUUGAAUUCCAUCGCUGCAUAUCUUUGGUACACACAGGGCCGGGGAGUCCUCGAAAUCACUAACAGUUUUCCUAAAGCACAUCUAGAUGUGUCCUAAAUAUUGCACAUCCAAGUCCUCUGCCAUUGAUUUUACAUGAAGAUUCCUGCAAGCAUUUUCAUUAGCCAUUUUUUUGUUCUUUCUAGUUUGAUAGUUAAUUAGAUGUGCAAUAACUAGAGCACAUUUAAAUAUACCCUAAACAGGCCUAAUCAUUUUUUUGAGGGAAAAUCCUUGUGGCAUUUUAUUCAAUUUGGGAAAGUGUUACAUCAAAGAUUACAUGAGGUAAUAUGAAAGAAGGCAUCUCAUCUAACCAUUCUUCACAUAUUUUUUAAUCAUAGCAUCGCCUAGCUAGGAAGUGUGCAACUCUGUUUACUUCUCUCGGACAAUGAGCAAAAGAAAUAUUCGGGAUGCCAUGGGCCAGAUGAAAACAAUCAACAAGGGUAGCUGAGUAGGGGCUCCAAAUUUCUGUCUCUCCAUUACAUGCAUAUACCAGUUCUUCACAGUCUGAUUCUACUUCAACAUUCCUCCACCCCCCCCCCCCCGCAUAAACCUGCCGUAGACCCAAGGGAAGAGCAAUUGCUUCAGCUGAUUGUGCACUAAGAGUGUUAUCUAUAAGCUCUGAGACCCCAACAAUCGCUUCUCCAUGGCAAUUACGAAGAAUAUCAGCUGCAGCCCCACUCCCGUCCUCGAAGAAGGACGCAUCCACAUUCAGUUUGUACGACCCAGGAGCUGGACGUCGCCAUCGAGCUUCAGAAGUUACCGCAGUUGGACGUGUCGCGUGAUUUGAAGUUAUAGCUUGGAUAGCAAACGAGGAACUUGGUGCAGGCUUGACAUUCACCCCCUUUACAACUUCACGGCGUUCCCACCAGAUGUACCAUGCACCAACAGCAACCGUUUCUUGGAGCCCCAGUUGUCCCAAGACAGGAGAUUUUUUCACCGGAUUUCUGAGUAAAUCCUCCAUUACCACUGAGCCUGAGCGAUCAGUGCGAAUAGAUGCAUCUAUGAUCUCAUCCAAACCCAAGGACUUCCAAACCUGACGUGCACGAUCACAAGUGAAAGCCAAAUGGCGAAUAUCCUCUGGUCCUUGGUGACAUAUAGGACAUGAAGGUGAGACUUUGAUAUGUCUACUUCGCAAUACUCCCACUCCAGGUAUGAUUUCAUGUAGUGCUCGCCAGACAAAAAUCUUUAUCUUGCUUGGAACUUGUAGUUUCCAAAGAGUCUCCCAAACAGGGUUGUUUGCUGAUGUCUCGGCUGGGUCCUUUCUCAUUCUUGGGCCGAAUUGGUGCUCCCACUCGACAUAGUAUGCUGACCGAACCGAGAAACAAUUUUUUUUGUGACAUUCCAUGCCACAAAAUCAUCCAGUAAAUGGGUAGAUAAUGGAAUCUUCAAAAUCCGUUGAACAUCAACACCAAAGAAUAUAGACCGAACCAAGGUUUCAUCCCUCCAUCCUGUUCCUGGAUUAAUAAGUUCAUCAACAGUGGUCAACAAGAUAUUACCCCUUGGCGUGAUAACCUUCCUUGUAGGACUUUGUGGGAUCCAGUGAUCCGUCCAAAUAUUUAUUUUGGCACCCGUCCCCACUCGCCAGAUAUGCCCUCUCUUGAAGGUUUGAAGACCCGCCACAAUGCUCUGCCAUGUAAAAGAUGAGCCCUUCUUUGGGCCUGCCAUAAGCAAAUUUCCACCUGGAUAAUACUUUGCUCUAAGAACAUGUGCACACAAAGUAUCAGGGUGCGUUACUAGCCGCCAACUUUGCUUAGCAAGCAUAGCAAGAUUGAAAGCAUGUAAAUCUCUGAAUCCCAUGCCUCCUUUAUAUUUUGGGAGACACAUCCUCCACCAUGCAAACCAGUGCAUCCUCUUGUGCUCUUCUUUGUCUUCCCACCAAAAAGCAGACAUUGCAUCAGUAAUCUCCUUGCACACUUGCUUUGGGAUUUUGAACACAACCAUAGCAAAAACUGGAAUGGAUUGUAUAAUUGCUUUGAGUAGGAUCUCCUCCCCCCCCCCAUAGAUAAUUUUUUCUCUUUCCAUCCUUUUAGCCUGUCAAUGAUUCUUUCAACCAAAUACUCAAAACUAUCACUCUUAUCUAGUCCUACCAUGGAGGGUAGUCCCAAAUAUUUAUCUGAGAUGGCUUCGGUCAUAAUAUUUAGCUCUGUACAUAUUUGUGCUCUCACACCCACUUCCACAUUAGGGCUAAAGGAAAUACUACUCUUGCCUGCACUAACCAAUUGGCCUGAGCUUGCACAAUAUUCAUCUAACACUUGUCUCAAUGAGGUUGCAUUAAUCAUAUCUGUUUUCAUAAGGAUAAGGGAAUCAUCAGCAAGCAGACUUAAUCAUUAAUUAAGGAGCACUCUUUGCAAAGGUCACUCCCACUUCCUCAGGUUGCGACAAUCUGAAAGUUUUUUCUUUUUUCUAGAUCCGUUUAUUUAAAAAGUUUUAUCUCUUAAACCAUGCGUCCAAAUCUCGAACCGUUUUCAUCAUUGUAUUCCUCGUGUCGAGAUCUUCAAAACUAGAUCUCAUGUUGAUAGGUUUUGAUGAACUUUUCUUUUCAUGAAAAAAACAAACCGGGCACACGUUUUUUUUCCUUUCCGAAAAGAGGCACGAUUGUGCCUCUCGCGGAAUCAAAUUAAUGCUUCUACCUAUCACCCUCCGGGUGAGUUUGAGAGACAAUACUUGGGAGGACCUCGUCGACCUGAAGAGUCGUUUUCCUUAUGCACCGGCUUGGGGUCAAGUGCUUUCUCAAGGAAGGGGGAAUGUUAGCGCUUCUACUUGGAAUACUCGUGCCUUCUUUCUUUUUGGCCUUAGAUUAUCAUAAGCGAGGAAUGGUGUGUGGACUAACUAUUCAUGCGAUAGGUCAUACAUUACAAGAGAAAUUGAAAUACAUUAAAAAUCUAUUCGUUUCAGUUCCACUUUUUUUAUUUCUUGCUGGCUAUUCUUCCUACAUAUUUUUGGCCGUCUAUCACAGUUUAGCUCCUAGAUCUUGAGUUAGGCGUAGCUACUUCAUGGCCCUUAUGAGUUGGGCCACACACGUCUGUGCUUCCACAAGAAGUAACAUCUGCCUUUCGCAGAAGAAAAAACAUUUUUUUCCAUUUCCGAGAGGCACGGCUCUCGCGGAAGCAAACUCGUGCCUCCCGUGGAAAGGAAAUUUUUUUUGCGUUUUUUCCAUUUCCACGAGGCACGGCCGUGCCCUCUCACGGAAGCAAAAAAGCAUUUUGUCGCACAAAUUUUUUUGGAACUUUUUUUGUUCUAUAGCUAAGAAAGACCGGUGAAAAAUUGAAAAGCCAAAAAACAAAAAAAAAUCUAAAAAGUCAAAAACGCGUGCAAAAAAAUAAAAAUAAAAAAAUCCAAAGGGAACGCCCAAAGCGUGACAUGCGGCAGCGGCUGUGGCGUGCUCUCAGCCCAACCCAAGUGACCCUUGAGGAGGCUCCCGAAGGAGCGCUCCUUCAUUAGUUGCUCCCAGGUGUCCUCCUCGCCAACCCAUACACACAUGGGCUUUUUUCUGUUAGAAUAGUUUAGGGUUAACAUAAAUAAGAUCUUGAUCUCAAGAUUAGAACACCAUAGAUAAAGAGCGGAACCGUUAUCAAGAACCUGAGAUAUCGGCCGUGGCCAUUGGCAAAGACGCAUCCUCUGCCUCCUAGAUGUAGGCAUGGUGAAGAGUAGCAGUAGUCCAAGAGCGCCACUAGCACGGCCCUUGUGCCAUCCGUUGGUGGAGAUGCAUCAGCUGGUCGGAGUAGAUGCUGUUAGCACUGCCCUGGAGGUGGCCAGCAGUGAUAGUCAAUCUUUGUCGCCUUUAGCACCUCAUAGGAUUGGUUGUUGGAGAGAGGACGUGGCCUACCAUGUAAAAUCGUUAGUUACAAACCGGAGGGGUCCUUUUCCUUUUAAAAUAGGUGCUAGGGAGGCGGUAUUGAGACCAAGUCAUUGGUUUGAUGCCCCCGAUCAGGGCACGUACGUAGGAUGUUUAAUUCCCUUUUAUCUCUCGGUUUGUUAUGACUAGAGACCAGCAUUCUUCCCCUUGAUUGUAAAGUUAACAAACUCCAUAGUCCCACUCUUAACAGAUAUAAUAUUCAAUGGUUAAUGAAGUUUCAUUGAACCUCGAUACUCACAGUAUACCAUUCUAUCUCUAAAUGGAUAUCAUUUUACUUUAUGAGAGUUGGUUUAUUUGACGAUCCUAAUUUCCGGGAUCAAAAAGCUUUCUAAAUCCAUGCCGGCGACAUAAUCUUAAAAUGGGUGAUUAAUCUUUAGUAAGUAGAACCGCAAAUCUUUAAGAAAGGAACAUCAUGUGUUGAUCCUGGACUCCAUCUUUCACAACAUGAAACAUAGUGCCAAUGGUUUUGGCAAUACCAAUUGACUCGUUGUUACUCACAUAGAGGAUUGCUUGUUCAUAAUCGCAGUAAGUGGUUUAUAUAUGUUGUCUACCAUUUUUAUUUCGGGAAUAAGAUUCUUUCAACAUACAACCUUCUCAGUAGCCUCUUAGCAUGCUACAAAUAGUUUGCAUCCUUGAUGAUGCCAUGGUUGUCCUUUAGGAGCUUUUCCACGAUAAAACUCCUCGUGUGAGGGUGCGGAUGUAACAUAACGUGGAAUUCCUAAUAUCCACACACCUCGCCAAAAUGAUGUCGGACUAACACACAGUUUUGAGGUUAUCAAACUCAUUAUAAGUGAGCAUGUAAUCUGUAUUGCCUUGCAUGGUAAUAAAAAGUUUGAUAACGGCUUUCCAUUGGCCUAGUUUGGGAAUAAACACAUUUUUGCCAAGUACCCCGAGCACAAAUAAGAGGGUGCAUUCAUACUUAAUACAUACAAGGUUCUUAUGACAACUAAAGCACAAGGAAUCAACAUUACCUGGUCAGCUUUAAAUAUUUUCUUAGACGCUAAAUGUCAAACUCUAUGACCCUUGAUUUUAGGAGUAGGUGGGGAAGAGUACUGACACAUAAUGUAUUUUUUUCAUAAUUUUCCACGUAUGUCAUAAUAAUAGGACUUUUACUCUUUUUGGACCCACUUCUCGAUGAAUCUCCAUACGACUAAUGCAUGAGACAACACCAAGAUUCUUUAUGUCAUUAUUGGAAGAUAGAAAAUUCUUGGUUUAGCCAAUGAGUUUUCACCUACAUAUAGUAGUGAAAUUACUCCCCCAGACUUAAGGUAAAAUUGUCUCAAUGCUUGUCUUAGUUCAUCAAAUUUCUGUACUAAACUAAUUUGGUUGACUAAAGUGCAUCCACCACACAAAAUGGCUUGAAGAAAACUAUUAACACCCCGAUGGUAUAUUACAUAUAGUGAGUAAAUGAUUGGUUUAUGCUUCGCUUUGUUUAGUGCAUAAAAUGGCGAGGACUAUUUCAAAAGUCACGUACACAUACUUGGUCGGUUCGCUCUUGCGCCUCUCUUUGAGCGCGUGGUCUCUGGUUCGAGUAAUCUUCCUGGCUUAAUAAGCCACCUUUUUUCGGUUGGUACAACCGCUGACAAAGGUGUCCCGCCAGUAACUGCGCCAACCAACUACGACCGUGAAGCCACCGACAAAGGUGUCCCGUGCGCCAGUAACUACGACCACCACCUACGACCGCGUAGCCGCUGACAGAGGUGUCCCACAAGUCAGAAUAUGCACCCACCAUCUACGACCGUUCAGCCGUUUACAGAGGUGUCCCGCAAGUCAGAAUAUACGCCCACCAUCUACGAGCGGCAACCGCUGACAGAGGUGUCCCACAAGUCAGUAUAUGUGUCCACCAUUUACGAGCGGGCAGCCACUGACAGGGGUGUCCCACGAGUCAGAAACCACGUCCAGUAACGGUCAAAGACUUUGACCCGACGACAAACCCCCGUUUGGGCUCUUGCGAGGGUGGGCCACGCGAUGGAGGGGAUAAGUGAGGACUGGUUUAGUGCAUGGGCAAAAUUGAGAAGGACUAAGCGAAGAGGGGCACAGAAAUAGAAAUCCCAAUUUUAUAAAUACCAUUUUGGGCCAUUAUGCAUAUCUCAGUAGUGCAUAUCUUAAUUAUACAAUAGAAAAUAUCAAUGUAAAACAUUAGUAUUUCUCAACAAGCACACUAGCCCAACAUUAUUAGAUGCAUAGUGCGGCACCAUAAACCGCACCACACGACCAGUUACGUUUUCAUGAGGUGCCUCAUCCCAUUAGUACUGAUCACAUAAUUAAGAAAUUCCAUAAGGACAUCAUUAAUAUAAAUUUCAUACUCAAAUAAAAUUUCCAAAUAAAACAUCUAGAAAAUUUAGAGUGAAGCAUAGGAAAUCUCGUCACGAUAAACACAAGUUUAUGACAUUAACAUUCCAUUCUUAAAACGACCAUCAUUAAAAAUAGCAUAAAAAGGUAUUAACAUGGCUACCACAUAAAAAUUUCUAAAUAAAAUCACCUACUACAAAAGUUAAACAUGAUCUUAACAUAUCUUCACACAAUUAACUCAAAUGCACCAAAAAUAGAAAAUUGCCUAAAUAACAUAAUCUAGCCCAUAAUAACCCAUGUCUUUUAUUUAAGAAAAGUUUAUCAUGAUUAACAUUACUUUACAUGAUUUCGGGCACAUGAAUUUUCCAAGCAAAAUUUCUUGUUGGUUCCAUUCCACUCAGAAAACUCAAGCAAGAGUUACAAGAAGUUUUUCUGACUAUGUUCAGUUAACAAUAGUGCAAAAACAUUUUGAGGAUAAUCAUAAUUUAGAAAUGCAUUGAAUAAAAUAAAAAAUGCACAUAACACCAAUGUUGGCCCAUAAUACCAACGACCGCCCGUUAAAAGUUUAGCCGAGCUGAGAAGAUCAUCAAAGAGAAAAAAAAUGUUUGGCUGUUGGCUGAAACAACUUGGGCCUAGCCCAAUGGCACACUUGGCCCAUUAUGCCCCCGCAGCCCGCCGUGAGCUCCGCAUUGAUAUUUACCUUUCGAUCGAAUAGAUGGUCUGGAUCAACCCGAGGCAGAACAAAACAGGCGUUGGCUCAAACCCUACCUCAUUUCCACUCGUCUCCCCAAAUUUUACGGCUCCGACAGGAGAGGCAAUCUCGUCGGCGACUCGAGGCACACUGGCUAUGGCAGUGCGGAAGCCCCAUUAGUUGGAGCAUGUGCCUGGUCAUAAGGCUGCUCACUCCUCGGCCGAACGGCGCCAGCCAUGUCGACCUCAUGGUGAUCACGGGAGCUAAUCCGCGAUUGCGAUGCGCACGAGGCCAUCGGCGGGGAGGCGACCACCUGUCCUGAUCUUUGGUGGUCGAUGACGACAUGCGCGACGCGGGUGCCACACAACAUUCACGUCCAUAAGGGCAGCGUCGCUGGCUUUUUCUUUCCACGCGUUGUCCUGAGAGACUGCAACGUCGCCGACGUCAGGAUCCCGGAGGAGAGCACCAAUGCUGCAUCAUUAGGUGACGACCGAUUCAUUUCUUUUGAGGAUUUCAUUUUUAGGGUUUCUUGAUUGGGGAAUUUUGGGCAAACAUUAGUGCUUUCUUCAAUGUGAUUUAUUCAAUUUGCAAAGCACAUCUAAUUUUGCAUUAACUUGAUCAACUACCACUAGAAUUCUUGAUCCUAAUCAUAUAUCAUUAACUUCAUAGAGAGCCAUUAAACUUUGAACAUGAUCAAAAGCAUUAACGCGAGGCAAUUAGGCCAUAACUUAAAAAAACAUAUUGCAAAUAGGCCUAAUUGGGGUUCUAGAUAGAGAUCAAACCAGCUCAUGAUACCGAUGCUAGAAGAGUCUUUAGGGUUAACAUAGAUAUUAUCUUGAUCUCAAGAUUAGAACACCAUAGGUAAAGAGCGGAAGCAUUACCUGAGAUGGCCAUGGACAACGUGGGCAAAGACACCUCCCCCUGCCUGCUAGAUGCAAGCAUGGUGAAGAGCAACAACAGUCUAGGAGCACCGCUGGCUUAGCCCUCACGACAUCCGUUGGUGGAGAUGCAACAACUGGUCGGAAUAGAUGCCACCAACACUGCCUUGGAGGUGGCAUGUGGUGUUAGUCGGUCUUCAUCUCCUUCAGGAAGUCGUUAGUUACAAACCAGAGGUGUCCUUUUCCUUUUAAAUUAGGCGCUAGGGACGCGGGAUUGAGACCAAGUCGUUUGUUCGGUGCCACCGAUCAGGGCACAUAUGUGGAGGUUUAAUUCCCUUUUAUCUCUUAGUUUGUUAUAACUAGAUACCAACAUUCUCCCCCUUGAUUGUAAGGUUAAGAAACAUCAUAAGACCACUCUUAAUAGAAAUCAUAUUCAAUGACUAAUGAGGUGUCAUUGAACCUCAAUACUCACAGUGUACCAUUCUACCUCAAAAUGGAUAUCAUUUUACUUUUAUGAGAGUUGGUUUAUUUCACGGUCCUAAUUUCCAAGAUCGAAAGGCUUUCUAAACCCAUGCCGGCAACAUAAUCUUCAAAAUGGAUGGUAAGCCUUAGUAAGCAGAACCGCAAAUCUUUGUGAAAAGAAUAUCAUAUGUUGAUCCUGGACUCUACCUUUCACAACAUGAAACAUAAUUUCAAUGGUUUAUGUACGUUGUCCCGUUGGUAAGCGAAACCGCAAUACCAAUUGACCCGUUGUUACUCGCAUAGAGGACUGCGUGUUCAUAAUCAUAAUAAGUGGUUUAUGUAUGUUGUCUAACAUUUUUAUUUUGGGAAUAAGAUUCUUUCAACAUACAGUAGCCUCUUAACAUGGCACAAAUAGUUUGCAUCAUUGAUAAUGCCAUGGUUGUCCUUUAGGAGCCUUUCCAUGAUAAAACUCCCCGGGCGGGGGUGCGGAUGUAACAUGACAUGAAAUUCCUAAUAUUCACACACCUCGCCAAAAUAGUGUCUGACCAACCCACAAUUAUGAGGUUAUCAAACUCAUUAUAAGUGAGCAUGUAAUCUGUAUUGCCUUGCAUGUACUGUAAAGCUUGAUAACGGCUUUCCAGUAGCCUAGUUCCGGAAUAAACACAUUUUUGCCAAGCAUCCGAACCAAAGAUUCUGUAUAAAAGGAAAACGGACUGCUUCUCAAGCAGAGUCAUUUUCAGCCCUCAGAAUUACAUUGCUCGCACAAUAUUGACAUCAUCCCCAGUAAUAAAUCUUGUGAUGACACAUUACCGGUAGCCACUCUACUGCACAUAGGUUCACCCUUACCAAUUGCUCCCUCAGUUCCAAAUUAACUGAAGUUCUAUGUUUGUCCCAAGUCGAACUUCUUUAAGUUUGACGAAAUCUAUAGACAAAUGUGAUAACAUCUACAACAUGAAAAAAAUAUACUAGUACGGAAAUAUAUUUAUAAAUAAUCUAAUGAAUCAAACCUGGUGUUAUAGACGUUGACAUACUUUUUUUAGACAUGGUCAAAAUUACAAAAGUUUGACUUAGGACAAACCUACGAUCUUCAAUUAAUUUCAAGUAUCAACAAAACAGAAACGUAGCAGGAAUACAGCGGAAAGUACCAAGUAUUUGAUACUCAUCCCCAUUGGCUUCAUAAGUUGCUUCUUUUCUACCCUUACUUACCAGUAAACAGUAUGCCAUGUCCAGCAACAUACCAUGUUCCAGAAGGGGAAUAGAUAAAUCAAACUCAAAACGAAGCACUACAAUUUCAAAAGAAGAAACUCAUGGCGACAGAAAGAGGUUCAUUACCAUGGUAGGAGACUGCACUCUUCAGUUACUAAACCAUUCUGACUUGACAGGUUAAAUUGCACACCUAGUUUACAGAACUGAAUUGCCACAUCUGCAAACACUAUAUGCAUGACUAACAACUUCUUAUAGUUCCGGCAAAGCAAGUUAUCAUGAAACCGUUAACUGAGAGAGUCAUCUCCUAUUCCCAAUCCUACAUAACCCAAACCAUACAGUAUAUGAUAUAGAGAAGAACCUAG
rnacentral:lncRNA from 1 species